AAGCAGCGGCUGAAGCGGCGGGUAAGCCAGAAUGGGGUAGCACUGGCCCAACUGAUGCUGGUCACUACAACAAUUGGCCAGAAGAUACGCCUUUUUUCAAGAAAGAAGGUGGUGGUUGGAAUACUCCAUAUGGUGAAUUCUUCCUUACCUGGUACUCUCAGAUGCUGUUAGAACACGGGGCGAGAAUUCUAUCGUCCGCAACAUCGAUUUUUGACGGUGCAGGUGUGAAGAUCUCUGUGAAAGUUGCGGGAAUCCACUGGCAUUACGGAACCCGAUCCCAUGCUCCUGAACUCACAGCUGGGUACUAUAACACAAGGUUCCGAGAUGGUUACCUCCCGAUCGCACAAAUGCUAGCACGUCAUGGUGCCGUUUUCAACUUCACUUGCAUAGAGAUGCGGGAUCAUGAGCAGCCCCAAGAUGCCUUGUGUGCACCUGAGAAGCUAGUGAAGCAAGUUGCUUUAGCAACAGGAGCAGCACAUGUUCCACUUGCCGGGGAGAAUGCACUUCCCCGUUAUGAUGAAUACGCCCACGAGCAGAUCUUACGAGCUUCAUCGUUGAAUGUCGAUGGCUCAGCAGUUGAUAGAGAGAUGUGUGCAUUUACGUACUUGAGGAUGAACCCAUCGCUCUUUCAUCCGGACAAUUGGAGACGGUUUGUUGCAUUCGUGAAGAAGAUGAAUGAGGGAAAAGGGGCUCGUCGGUGUUGGGAAGAGGUGGAGCGGGAAGCCGAACAAUUCGUGCAUGUCACGCAGCCUUUCAUUCAGGAGGCCGCCGUUGCCCUUAUGCAUUAGCGUAGCUUAGUAAAGAGUUUGUAUUAAUAACAGUUCCUCAAGGAUUCUGAAAUGAUAUAGUUUUUCCUUUCACAUUUUUUUCCUAUGCAGUGGCUAGGGAAAAAAUGCAUGUUGUAUAAUUUGGUAUUCGAUUUAGUUCCAACUCUUUCCAAUUUUAAGCAAGGAUGAUAUACAUUAGAUUAUUUAUUUGCCUUUUUUAAAAGAUAUUAGGAUUUGAAUUUUUUAAAGAAAGGGUUUUACGUUUAUAAAUAUGGUAAAAGUAUCACAAUGUUUAUAACGACUGUUAAAAUAUAUUUGUAUAUUUAAAUUUAGUCUUCAAUUUUUAUAUAUUUAUAUAAUUUGAUUUAUUCUUUUAUUGAAAGUAAAUUAAUUUGAUUUAUUCUUUUAUUGAAAGUAAAUUAAAAAAUUUCGAAUCUAGUUGCCUGGCUAGCAAAUUAAAAAAAAAAUUCUAAGCUCUCAUAAAUUUUUAAAAAAUUAUAAAUUAAUUGUUAAAAAUUUAGAAUUAAAUUUUUUUAUUAAAGCAUUAAAAAGUUUCUAAUUUUAAAAUUAUAAAAAUUUGGUGUGAACAUAUUAAAAGUUUCUUAUUAGUUUUAUAAUUUUAAAAUUAUAAAAUUUAUAUAAAAAAUUAAUUUUUGUAAUUUGUUUAUAAUUUUUAUGAUUUUUAAUAUUUUUAAAUUUUAAAAGUGUAAAUGAUUUUUUAAAAUUUGUUACUAAAGUCUUUUUGAUCCUUUAGUUUUGUUAGUUUAAAAAUUACUUCCAAUAAAAAAAAUAUGAGUCAAAUUGAAUACAUGUGUAAAAGUUAAUGAUUGAAUUUGUUAUUAUACCUUAUAUAUAAAUAUCAUAUUUUAAUAGAGAGGUGGCUUUGCUCACUCAUCUAACAUAAAACGGCCAAUUUGCACAUUUAUUUAGUAGAAAGGCUAAAAUGCAAUCCAAUGUAUAAUACAAGAGAUUUUGUGAUACUUUUAUCAUAUUUAUAAUAAAAUUGAUAAAUACAGAUACAUAUUCAAAUAACUAUAAAAUAGAAUCAAAUUAGUCAACAUCCUCUAAAUCUAAUGACAAAAACAUUUAUGUCGUGACAGGAGAGCUUAGGUUGAAUUACUAGCAACUCCAUUCUUACCCUCAAUUAUUAAAAAAAUAGAAUCAAAUUAUUUACAGAUGAAGAAUAAAAAUGGAUAUGGAGUGAAGGGUGAGUAUUUGUUCCACGUAAAAAUAUAUGGUACACUAUUUUUAGAAAAAGUAUAUAUAUGGUACACUAUUUUUAGAAAAAAUAUAUGAUAAUUUUUUAAAACUGCUUGUAAUAAAAAAAUAAUACACCACACCGUACUAAUACCUUUUUUUUAUUAAUUAAAAUAGUUGGAUUUGAUUGCUUUUUAGAAUGCAAAAUUACCGAAAGGAAGUGUGGAAUACUUUGGAGGAUAAAUUUUUGGAAAGAAAGUUUGAGAUCCGAGUUCAACAAAAGGAACUCUCUUUGAACUGUGACCAUAAGAGGUAUUGGAAAAUCAUGGUUUCAAACAAAAUUGGAGUGUCUAAAUAUCAGAUACUCUUAAGAGAGUUCUACAUUUUAUAUGAUGACAACAGAUUUGUUUCCCAUCAAACAUAUAUCCCAUUUCUUCCAUCUUUCAAUUACAAAAGAAAUUAAACCUCAAAUUUAAUCUCUUGUAAUAGGAGUUAGAUUAUAUUUUACUUAAUUAAUAUAUGUUUGAUCAAAGAACAAAUUAAUCAGACAGUGACACAAAUGGAUUAAUUUGUUCUUUAAUCUAAUGUAUAACGGUUAAUUUACUUAUGUUUUGAGUAAAAGAGACAAAAUAUAAUUUAACUCUUAAUACAAAUAUUUUCACGAUACUUUACCCAUUUUUUUUAUUUAACAAAUCAUGUUAUGUUCCCUCUUCUUUCACGUUUUAAUCCUCCAAAUUGGUAACACUAUUAUUGUAGAGAAAAUUUAUCCCUCAAAGAACCGACUUUUCUCAAAUCAUGAUCUUUUCUAUAGCAUUGGCAAGAGUUCUAGAGAGGUCUACAUUUUGGAGUCAGAUGGCCAUCUUUCAUGACUUCAAAAAGGAAAAUGAAAAACACUUUUUCCAUGGAUUAAAAAAAGGGUUUCACAUGAUUAACCAUUUGCUACUCCCCCCCCCCCCCUUUUUUUCUUAAUUUUGUGGACGGUAAUGUGAUAAAGUCACAUGAAUUAAAUGCUCAAGAGGUUGCCUUUUUCCUUCUUUUCUUCACCACUAUUUAGCACAUUUUUCAUCUCCACCUUCCUUAAUAUAUAUUUUAUUGAAGUUUUAAACAAAAUGUUAUUCUAAUAAAAAAAUAUUUUUACAUGAUGUGCUGGAAAAUUUUUUGUAAAAAAUUCUACAAUAGCUUUCAAAAUUAUCUAAUAAAUUUACGUUCAUUGGAAUGUUUUUUUAUUACAUGAUCACCAUAUAUUUAACAAAAAAAUUUAAAAUAUCACUCCAACAAAUUUAAUAAAUAAUUUUAUUGGUAUUAAGAAUUGGAAUUGAAUUGGUAAAUCUAAAAACUCGAGGGUUUUAACCCUCAAACACGAACACUAUUAAAAUGUCCUAAACCUUAAACUUUUAUCCCGCAAACCCUAAUGUGCCUCCUAAAAACUCUAAAAGAAAAACUUUAAACAGGUUCAGUAGAGAUAAUGAGAAAACACGUCUAGUUGAAAGUGUCUUGUUGACAGAAUAGAAAAGCACAUCUACCUGGCAACGUUUUCUUACAACUUACGUUAAAAACGCGUUCAGUUUAACACGUUUUCAAAAAUCGACAUAAUCCUACAAAAUUUUUAAAAAAAACCUACCUAAUCUCAUAAAUAUUUAAAAAAAUGACAUUUUUUUUAUUCAUAUUUGAUAUAUUGAUUGGAUUAGGAUAACUUAACUAUGUGACAAAAAUUAGGUUUUCAAGACAUAAAAGUAGUGGCUGAAAAGCAGAGGCAAUUCUAGGGGGGGCUGGCAUGGGCCCCGGUCCCCCUAAAAUGAAAAAUUAUCAUUUAGGCUCUCGAAAUUUUUUUAAAAAUUUAAAUUAGUAAAGGUAAAAUUGCACUUUGGCCCUCUAAAAUUAUAAAAAUUUGAUUUAAUCCUUUAAAAAUUAUAAAGAUAUAAACUAUAAAAAAUUAAAAUUUCAUUCGGCCCCCUAAAAAAUUGUUCUGACUUCGCCCUACUGAAAAGUAAUAAUGGCAAUGCAGUUUCCAAGAAGCCUCAUGGGAUAAUUUGAACUUUUAUUAUGUUGUCAUUGCACCAAGCGUUACUAACUUAUUAUGAUGGAAGAGUUUAUGGAUCAAAUUAAAUUAGGUGUAGACGAUGUAUUUCGUGUUACUUUUGGCUGUUCGUAAUUUUGUUGACAAUUAAAAUAUUAUUAAUUAAAGAGAUUUUGUUUCCAAAAUCUAUUUAAAAAAAUGCUUUUCCAAUAAAAAAUAAAAGUUUUGUUUUCUAGUAAAAAGCAUUUUUGAGCAUAUAGUUUACUUUCAUAUCUAUUAAAUAAUAAUGUAUUUACAUAUUUGCUAUAUUUAUAUUGUACAAAAUUUCAAGGCCAAUGAGAUUUGAAAAUUUGGAAGAAAUCAAGGAAUUUUAUUUAUCAAAUUAUGAGUUAUAAUCUUUAGAUAAAUCCUUUGAUUUUUUCUUUAAUGGAGAUUCGAUUUAAAGGUUGUCUUGAACUAAUCUUGGAUGAAUUCAAUCCUCUUUAAGAGUUUUCAAGACUUGAUCUUAGAAAUAAGUUUAGAGAGAGUUUGGAACGAAGAGUUUUCGAGAUUUGAUCUUGAAUGGUUGAGUCUGUUUCAAUGGUCAUCAAAGUUUGAUCUUGAAGAGAAAAUUUAUCUCCUUUGUGUUGAUGCCAAGGAACUAAGAGGAGGUUUAAUCUAAGGGUUAUUUAUACUUGAGCGUGGAUGGAUGAUUCCACUUCAACAGGAUCAAAGAGUAGCUUUCUUUAGAACUAAUGCAACAUUCUUUAUAAUUUCUUUGAGUUGUUUGAUUUCUUCAGAGAUUUAUGAGAGAACUUCUAGUUUUCAAAACCUUUUCGUCGGGCUUCGAUUUCUAAACUUUCAGAUUUAUGAACUUGUGAAGUUUUGUUGAAUGCGUGGAGGUGGCCCUCUUUUAUAGUAUUAGCUAGACAAGUAAAAGAUAGCUCUUAUAGAAUAUAAUCUCUUCAUUUGAGUGAUCUACAAGGCAUAAGCUAUUUUAUUUAUUAUUUAUAAAGAAAAUGAAUUCUCUAUAAAAGGAUUUAAAUGUUUUAUUUUAUCUCUUAAUUUAAUUAGAGGUAAAUCUUAUUGGUCCAAAACUUUUCCUUCUACAUAUAUAAAUUAUAUUUUAUUUUAAACAAAAUUUACUAUACAAUUAUGACAUAUUUAUAAAGUAUGGGAUUAUUAAUAUAGGGAAUAAAUAUUAAAAUUAUACAUGAAGUUUGAUCUAAUAUACAAUUAUAUUCAUGAAAUUUUGAUUGUGUUUCAAAUGUAUACACUAAACUUAGAUUUUGAUUCAAUUAUAUACAUUUAAAGAAAUAAAUACAUUAAUUUAUUUAGUAUAAUUAUUUGUGUAUACAUUAUGUAAAUGUAAAAUGUUGCUAUAUUGUCAAUAAUGUUGGUGGCUUGUGAAAAUUGCACAAAAUUAAACUUCAUGUAUAACAUUACAAAUUGGGUGAAAAUUCAUGUUCAAUUUUGAGAUUUAUCCCUUAAUACAAAAAUAAUGUUAGAAUGAAAUGAUUUUAAAGAGCAUAUUUAUAUAGGUUUAAUACUAUUAAGUUAUUCAAUUAUCAUUACAAAUAAUCUAAUAAUAUUAUUUCUAGCAUGAUGUCAUUUUGAGACAUUUUGUCUUCCCAUAAUAAUGUCAAACCCUAAAAAUCUCACAACACAUGUUAUAUACAUUUUCCCCUAAUUGAAUUUUUUAACAAAAAUAGUAAUACUAAUGGUAUCAAUAUCUUAUCUAAGCUUGAUUACUUUCAAUUUGAUGUUCAUGGCAGUCCAUUUCACUUUUGAUCUUCACAAACGAAUUUACUCGCCGGCUUCAAUUUCAUACAUCCAGUUUUCCAUCUUCAUUUGGAGUCCCAAAUCUCAUCUUUACCUUGCUUACCCAAAAUCUUCCAUCUUUGCCUUAGAUGGAAAAUAGUCAUAGUUGAUACGUCAUCAGAAAUCUGAUUUUCCAUGGCUACAGCUCCAUUUUUCACCGUAAUUUCGAAAACAUUAAUAAGAAAAUUGAAACAAAUAAUAAUAAUAAUAAUAAUAAUAAUAAUAAUAAUAAUCGUCAAUGGUUUUAAGUGGUGUACAACAUUUUCCCUUAAAAGGCUUUAAUAUAUUGUCCAAAUACAACAAAACUUUCAACCCUCCAAGUAGAAUAGUGAAAAUGACUAAUAGGAAGAUCUUUUAUAUAGAUAUAAAAUAGAUGUAUUUUUCCAUAAUAUUCCUUUCAUAAUGAUAUAUAUAUAUAUUUUAAUGAGAUACCCUUCCAUGAGGACAGGGAUGUAUCCAGGAUUUUACUCUAAGGGAGACGAAACUUCUAAAUUUAAACGACAUUUUAUUUUUAAUGUAAAAAAAGUGCCAAUUCUUCUUGGAUACUUGUUCUUCUCAUCAAAUAAAUCAAUUUAAUAUAUAUUUUUAAAAAGCAUGAAUGAUUUAACUGUAAAAAAAAUAAAAAAAAAACUCACACUAUAUAAAAUUAAGCAUUUCUUUCCAAUAUGCAAAAAAGAAUAACUAAUAUAUACCAUACAAAAAAUUUCAUAAAUAUCAUUAUAAUUCCAAAAAUUAAAUUAAGAAACUUGGCCUUAGUCCUAUUUCUCAAUACUAGGAAUCCUAAAUUGUACUCUUCGCUUUUUCAUAAGAUCAAACUCAUCAAUGAUAGAAUCUGUUGAAAAUUCUCGAGCUAUCUCUUUUUCGAUGUAUGCCACCAAGUAAGUUGAAAGAAAAUCAUCCUCCAUUCUGUUGCGAAGUCAUGUAUUCACAAUUUUCAUUGCUAAAAAUGUUCGUUCGAUUGUUGUAGCAAACACGGAAAGAGUUUGUCGAAACCACUUUUUGAAAAAAAAAAUUAGAGUAGACUUAAGGAAAUGAAAAUUGGAGUCGCCACCGAUCUUUUAUUAAGGUGUGACCGGAUCACCUUAAAAAUGAUUUUGGUCUAUGAAUUUCAGAAAGAAUGGAUUUGGGAGUCAGUUAUGUACGAGGAAGGAUUAGCACCCUCGUAACGUCCAAUAUUGGUACCGUAUUCACUAGUUAAUGUCUUAAAGUCGAAUGUCGAAAGUUUUAAAAGAUUAAAAAUGAUUCCCCUUUUAUUAAUGACAUAUUUUUUCAAAGAAAAAAAAACGUUUGGAUAAAUUUGAAUGAGUGUAAAAGACUUUCUUAUCUCGAGGAAACAAAAUGUCGUACCCCGUAAGUUAGGAUGCAACAUUUGAAUCCUCAAAAAUAAGCUAACCUUCAAAAACUUUAUUGAAAUUUAACGAUUUUGAAAAAUAAGAAAUGUUUAGCCUUUUUAGUUCGACGAGAAAAUCGAAACCCCGUAAGUUAGGGUACGAUCCCUCGAAGUUCCAAAGACAACAUGUAGUUUGCUUUUAACUUUAUUAAAGAAAACAUGUUUUUGAAAAUAAAAAAAGGUCAUUUUAAGUUAACAAGAUAAUCGAGACCCCGUAAGUUAGGGCACGAUUUCUCGAAACUUCGAAAAGUAUUAUAAAGCCGACUCAAAAUGUAUUUAAUUGAUUGGCUUGACAUAAAGAAAAAAAAAGUAAUAAUGAUCACAUACAUUGGAAUUUGGCUUACGAUACGAUAACGAGAAAUAAGAGCGUAAUUGUAUACAUGGCAUAAUAAUACAUAGCAAGAAUAUAAAUAACAUGUAAAUACAAAAUAACAAAUUAAGGUAUACAUAUAUAUAUUAGUCUAAAUAAAUAAUACAUAUGGAAUGAAAGACUCAAAAUAGAUAAUAAUAUAUAUUAUAAUAUGUGUAAAGAGUUGAAAUAAGUAAAAUAAAAAAAUAGAGAAUUUAAAAGAAAUAAAGUAUAUAUAUAUAUAUAUAUAUAUAGAAAAAUAGGUAAAAAUAUAUAAUUUGAAUUCAAUAGUAUAUUAUGUAUGUAUGUAUGUAUGUAUAUAUGUAUGUAUGUGUAAUGAAAAUAAUUUAAUAUAAAUUGUGUAUAUAUACAAAAGUAGUAUUGUAUAAGAAUAUUAUCAUAUAAUCUUUACAUAUGAAAUAUAUAAAAAAGUGGAUUUUAAAAAUAUAUUAUAAAAUAAAAAUUGUUAAAAAUAUAUAUUAUAUUGGAUUAAUAGGAAGAAAAUAAAAUAAUUCAUUAUAGAAUUAAAUAAUAAUGUAUGAUAAUAGUAUAUAUAAAAAAAGUUUAAAAUAAUAAUAAAUAAUAAAUUAAAUUAUUUUUCCAAAAUUCAAUUCACCAAGAAUAUAACUCCAUAAAUAUUUAAUAAAAAUAUUUAUGAUUUCAAUUUAUGAAAUCGGAGUCCCGAAAUCGAAUUUUUCCAACACCAUUGACUUUCGGAUCGUUACAUCAAAAUACAAGAAAGUCACUAACCUAAUAUGCAUGAGUAUGAGCAAAAUCAAUUAAUUGUAGAAUUUGGCUUUAAAGUCCAUAUUGAGCCUUUAAGUUUAGUCUUUUAAGGCCCAUCAUACAUUAUUAUUAUUAAAGUUAUAUAAUUAAAACUGAAAAAUACUUUAUUAAUAUAAAGUAUAAUCUUACGGCUUAAGGGGCGAAUUAUAUGAAAUAUAAUUUGGCCAAGGGGACGAAUGUUUUACAAUGUGGACACCAAAUCUAAAAUACAUGAUAAUUUAUAUAUAUAAUUCAAAAAUCUGAAAAUUCCAAGGGGGUGACUACCCCCCACGCCCCCUGGAUCCAUCAUUGCAUAAGGGCUUGUUGUUUCAAAAGAUAACUUUACUUAAAAGCUAUGUCCAAAUAACUUUAUUGAUAGUUUGUCUAGUGGGGUUGUGUAGGGGCGAAGCUAGAAAAUUUUUUAGAGGGGCUGAAAUUAAAUUGUAUAUUUGUAUGAUAAUACAAAUACAAAUUUACCAUUUUAAUAUCUUAUAUCUUAAUAAUUUUUAAAGGGUUAAAUCAAUUUUUAAUCAUUUCUGGGAGCUAAAGUGCAAUUUUACCAUUACAAAUUUAAAAUUUUAAGGGGCUUAAUUUUCCAUUUUAGGGGAGGUUGGGGCCUCUACCAGCCCCCUUGGAUUUGCCUCUGGGGCUAUGGAAAGAGAUAUGGGCACAACUGUAUGAAAAAGAUAAACACAAAAAAUGUUUACGCAACUCAGACUUAUGUAUAUGGGGCCUUGCUCAGAUAAUGUAAUGCCCCGAUUUAUUUAACUUUGUUUUUAUGAAUUUUGUCAUAAAUGAGUAUUUAUUUCAGUGGUUAAGUGAUUUGAGUGAGUACUUAAGGUCUUGGGUUUAAGUCCCACUUUUGGAAAAUAUGCUAUUUUUGAUCCUAGCCUUAUCUUUAGUGGUUUGCCUUAUAUUUUACUUCCGGGCAACUCAUAUUAGAAUGAGUUUGCUAGUUCAGGUGGUAAUGUGUUAGCCUGCCCUACGGUCUUGUGUUUGAACCCUUUGUGUGAGCAAAGAAUGUUAAUUUUUGCUUCUAUGAGUGUGUGCCAGUUGUGUAGUAAAAGUUGGAUGGAACUGAUACUCUAAACUAGUUGGAUGAGGUAGUGGGUUAGAUUCUGUGGGAUUGUGGUUGGUUAGUGGGGGAGUUGGGAUAGUGUUAAUUUUAUUUUAAUUUUGUUUUUUUCCAAAAUUCCUUUCCAGUUUCAUGUUCUUCACUCAACUCCCAUGUACAUUUCUUCUUCUUCUUCUUCUUCUUCUUGUCUCUCUUAUUUUUAUUGGAAUUAAUUCUGUAAAUAUGUAUGGUAGUUUUUGAGUAUAUCUCUUUUCUUUUAAUUAGGAGAUUAGAUGCUAAAGUUUAGGAGAUAAUAUUUUGGUUUAAUUAGGAGAUUAGAUGCUAAAGUUUAGGAGAUAAUAUUUUGGUUUCUAUAUUUGUAUUUUAUCAUGUAUAUAUGUUCUUGAUUUUGGGAGGAAUGAGAGACAGAGAAAAUUCCCACAAUUCUUGUUAUUUUUUCAUGGUAUCAGAGCAGGUUUUGAACGUGUAAAUUUUUGCUAAUGGCUGGUGGGAAAGGUGAUUCCGGUCACAAAUUCGGUGAAGGGGCGGUUGUGCGAAAAACGAUUUCUCCGUACAAUAUAACCUCGCUUGAUAAUCCUACACUUGCAAUCACUCAAGUACAAUUGAAAGGGGAAAACUAUGAAGAAUGGGCUCGUUCUUUCUGAACGGCGUUGCGUGCUAGGAAGAAGUUCAGAUUUAUUGACGGAUCGAUUAAAAAACCAGAUGAUACAUCAGACAACAUUGAAGAUUGGUGGACCAUUAACUCGUUGCUAGUUUCGUGGAUUCGGAAUACCAUUGAACCAACUCUUCGAUCCACCAUAUCUCAUGUCGAGGUGGCUAAGGAUUUGUGAGAUGAUAUCCGGAGAGAUUUUCAAUGGCCAAUGGUCCAAGAAUCCAACAACUCAGAUCUGAUCUUGUAGAAUGCAAGCAAAAAGGAUUGACUAUUGUAAAUUAUUUUGGAAAAUUGAAACUGAUAUGGGAUGAAUUGGCGAUUUUUGAUCAAUUGCCGACUUGUAAAUGCGGGAAUUGUACUUGUCAACUAUCAGCCGAGUUGGAAAAGCGAUGAGAAGAGGAAAAGUUCACCACUUCCUGAUGGGAUUGGAUGGGACAUAUAGCACGGUUAGAUCCAACAUCUUGGCCAACGAUCCAUUGCCAUCCUUGAGCAAGGCUUAUUCGAUGGUUAUUCAGGAAGAACGAGUGAAGACCAUAUCUCGUGAGAUGGAAGAUCGCCCCGAUGUGAUGGCUAUGGCGGUGCAAAGUCGAGGCAGUGGAGAAAGUAAUGAGAAGGGGGGUUUGUUCCCAUUGCAAACAACCCGGACAUGAUAUUGAUAAUUGUUUUACUAUUAUUGGGUAUCCUGAAUAGUGGGGAAUACAUAUAUAUAUUAGUCUAAAUAAAUAAUACAUAUGGAAUGAAAGACUCAAAAUAGAUAAUAAUAUAUAUUAUAAUAUGUGUAAAGAGUUGAAAUAAGUAAAAUAAAAAAAUAGAGAAUUUAAAAGAAGUAAAGUAUAUAUAUAUAUAUAUAUAUAUAUAUAUAUAUAUAUAGAAAAAUAGGUAAAAAUAUAUAUUUUGAAGUCAAUAGUAUAUUAUGUAUGUAUGUGUAAUGAAAAUAAUUUAAUAUAAAUUGUGUAUAUAUACAAAAGUAGUAUUGUAUAAGAAUAUUAUCAUAUAAUCUUUACAUAUGAAAUAUAUAAAAAAGUGGAUUUUAAAAAUAUGUUAUAAAAUAAAAGUUGUUAAAAAUAUAUACUAUAUUGGAUAAAUAGGAAGAAAAUAAAAUAAUUUAUUAUAAAAUUAAAUAAUAAUGUAUGAUAAUAGUAUAUAUAUAAAAAAAGUUUAAAAUAAUAAUAAAUAAUAAGGUAAUAUAUAUAUAUAUAUAUAUAUAUAAUAGGUAAAUAGAAGUAUAACCAAAUAUAAUAAUGUCAGCAACAAUAAUAAAUAGUAAUAAUAACAAUAAUAAUAAAAAAGUAAUAAAUUAAUUAAUAGCAAAAAUAUCAAACAUGACUAAAUUGAAACGAAAACAGAAAUUCUGGGGCAAAUAUGAAAUAAAUAAAAAUAAAAAGGACCAAAUUGAGUGCACGAAUAACAAAGAGGGACUAAACGGAAAACAUCCCCGCCCUCCUAAAACACAGCACCUUACAUGGAGCAAAAAUGAAAUCAAAGCAAAAUUUUAGGGCAAAAUUUGGAAUAAAAGAAAACUUAAUUGCAAAACCAUUAAAAGGUGGAAAGACCAGGGUUGUAAAUAACCCAUUUAACGAGAACAUGCGGAUCCCCCAUGGAGCAGGUCGGGUAGCACACGGGUGGCCCUAUACGGCGUCGUUUUGGCGCUAAGGGCACUAACUCAAAACGACGCCGUUUUUUAUUGUUAUUUAAACAAAAAAAACUGUUUUUAAAAAAACAUUUUCAGAAGCUAUUUUUUGUUUAAAAAAACAAAAGGGGGCUAUUCUUUGCUAGGGUUUCACAUCCCAACUAGCCCACCGUGCCUCCGCCGCGAUUCCACCGUGAACAGUGGCCGGAGCUGCACCACGAAGGGCCUUUCGCUCCUUUUCGCGCGGAUCCGAAGGCGUCCAAGGUAAACCCUCUUCUUCCCUUUUUAAUAUACAUUUUUUUAUUUAAAAAAAUCGAAACUAAAAGGAAAAAAAAUAGAAUACUACCUUCUAUCUCUCAAAAAAACUCAGAUUACCAGUAAAUCAUUUUUUUGAUUGAUCUUCUCCCUCCCUUUUUACAAUAUCAAGUCUGCUUUUUAUAGCAGAUAAUGGAAAAAGAUAAAUGUAAAAAAAAUCUAAUUUUAAAUGCGUUAUCUACUUGUUCCUUUGGUUUGUGAUUUUUCUGAUUUUCUUGAUGUUUUUUUCCUGCCUGUGCUGUUUGUUGCCAUUUUUGUUGUGCAUGUACAAGCUCGGAGGGGACGCAUGCGCGCGGAGGCGUAGCACGUGUGGGGCAGGAGCUGCGCCUGGAUCUUCUUGGGUUUCUGUUUCGUGGUCUAGGGCUAGGCAUUGGGCCUCUGUAAUUGGGCCACUGUUUAUUAGGUUAGGGAUUUAGAUUGGGUCUUGGUGUAUUUUGAAUUUGGGCUUGUAAUAGGAUUUGGGUUUAGGCUAGCAAUUUUAAUGUAAUUGGAUUGUAUUUGGACUUUGAAUUUUGGUUUUAUUUAUUUAUAUACGGGUCGGGCAAAUUGGGCCAAUUAUAGCUGCCCUUCUUUGCUCGUUGUCGUGUAACGGGAACGGAGCAAAGACUUUAGAUGGCCAAUUUUGCCGGGUCAUGCUGGAUCUUGGUGCUCUUCUUCUUCAAGUAGCCUCAUGCCCACCUAUUGCAUCUUCAGAGGUAUUGGUGCUUCGAUCCACUCCACUGUAACGUUAGGGAAAUAGGAUUUGUAGCUCUUCAAGGGAACAUUUGCUAUCUUCAGUCUGCUUCACUGCAACUUCAGGGAGAUAAGACUUGCAACUUCCACUUGUUUCACUGUAAUUUCAAGGCAAUAAGGUCUGAUUCGAUCUGCUUUACUGCAACUUUAGACAGAUAAGAUCUGUAAUUUAUAGCUUCAACCUGUUCCACUGUAACUUCAGGGGAAUAAGAUUCACUAUCUUUAGUCUGCUCCACUGCAACUUUAGGGAGAUAAGACUUCACUUCAAUCUGCUCCACUGCAACUUCAGGGAGAUAAAACUUGCUAUGGCAGAUUUAAUUCGACCUACAGCAACUUCAGAGGCAUAGGAUUCAUCAUUUUAAUCCGCUCCACUGCAACUUCAGGGAGAUAGGAUUUGUAACUUUAAUCUGCUCCACUGCAACUUUAGGGAGAUAAGAUUCACUAUCUUCAAUCUACUCCACUGCAACUUCAGGGAGAUAAGACUUGUAACUUCAAUCCGCUCCACUGCAACUUCAGGGAGAUAGGAUUAUUGGCUUUAAUCUACUCCACUGCAACUUCAGAGAGAUAAGAUUCGCCAGGAUCUACUCUACUGCAACUUUAGAGAGAUAAGAUUCGCCAGGAUCUACUCUACUGCAACUUCAGAGAGAUAAGAUCUGUGAUUUAUAGCUUUAAUCUGUUCCACCACAACUUUAGGGAAAUAAGAUUUGCUAUCUUCAGUCUACUCCACUGCAACUUCAGGGAGAUAAGACUUCAUUUCGAUCCGCUCAUUGCAACUUCAGGGAGAUAGUAUUAUUGGCUUUAAUCUACUCUACUACAACUUCAGGGAGAUAAGAUUUGUCAUCUUCUUCAAUCUAUUCCACUGCCACUUCAGUGGUAUAGGAUUUGUAGUUUCACCGAUCUGUUUUCAGGGGAACAUGACCUGUAGAAUCCAUUGCAUGGACCUAUUUAUGCCUAAUUAUUAGGAUGUUAUGAUCGGAAUGAGUCAAAAUUUACUAACUAGAUGUUAUGAAUAAAUGGAAAAUGAAGAUGAUCCCUUUUUUUAAUGUUUGGGUUAUCAUUACUUAUUAUUCGUUAAGAUUUCAUCACUGAUGUGUUAUAGAGUUGUCUUGUUCAGCUGGUGCCUUCGACAGAAACCCAAAGAAAAACUCAAUCAGUUUGCCUCAAUUGUUCUUUUGAGACUUGAGUUUUGGGCUAUCCUUCUUCCACUAUAACCCAGGGAUACAAGAUCUGACUCUUUUCAAACCUCUUUUAUCGCAAUUCAAAGGCAUAGUAUAAGAAUCUUCUUCCCUCAUUUUAGUCAUUUACACCAUUCCUAGGAUGUCGUGACCAGGUAUUUAUGCACGAGUAUAGAAAUUUUUCUAAGAAUAACUUCUUCUUAUUGUUUGGCGAUCGAAGCUUUAUCACCGGCACAAUAUUUUGUUUAAUAAAUAUUUUUGACAACAAAAUUCGAAGAGAUAGUCUUAAUUUAGACUUUUUCUUUUUAGAUAUUUCAACUUUUAAACUUGGUGCAUUCUAAAUAAUAGUCCUAUUUCAACUUCCUGUAUUAUUUAGAAACUUCUUAGAGUAAUAUGCAAAACUUCAUUUGAGAAAGUAUUAUUAGUCCAUUAAUCAUUAUUCUAAUGCAACACACUUGCAAAAGAUCAUAUCAAUGGAUAAAAAUUGAAUUGAUUUGGGAGCAUGGCUCGAAAUGAAUAAAUUGUCAAGGAUAGUAAAAAUAAAAAAAAGGGAAUUAAGUGGGAACAUGUAUCUUGAAAAAGAAUGAAGUAUUCCAAGAACAACAAAUUCAAUAUAAAUAGUAUGAAGACUAGGUGCCCCAAAUAUCGCAGCUUGAACUUCUCUGCACAACUUUCUAAAGACCAUUCUGAGUUUGACAUGUGUUUAGGAGAUCUAAGUACUUUGUCAAUGCUCCAAGAUAUCGCCUACCUUUUCCUAUUGAUUCAAGUAUAGCAAGAUCACCACAUGCGCCAAUUUGAUCAAAAUUUGAGCUGCUCUGAUCACCUCAUGUCCCAUUCUGAUCAAAAUUUGAGUCACCUUUUUUGGGUUUUCAACUCAAAUCCCCUUUGGUCUCAAGGUGCCUUUUGCAGGUUUUCACAUUGGCCUCUCAUUUUUUUAAAGAACUCAAGGCACCCUUUGCGAGUUUUCACUUUAAUCCAUUUUCUUUCUUCAGGUGAAGUAUUUCUUAAAUGAGUCCGAGUUUACAGGAUUUGGCAAGUUUUUACCAUCCAUCUCGCUCAAAAUCAAAGCUCCUCCAGAAAAGACCUUCUUUACAACAUAAGGUCCUUCAAAAUUUGGAGCCCACUUCCCUCUAAAAUCCUUUUGUAGAGGAAGGAUCUUUUUCAACACCAAGUCCCCCUCGUGGAAUUCUCUGGGACGAACCUUUUUGUUAUAGGCUCGUAUCAUUUGUUUCUGGUACAUCUGAUCGUGAUGAAUAGCUUUUAGUCUUUUUCCUUCUAUCAGGUUCAACUGAUCAUAUCGAGAUUGUAUCCAUUCGACCUCAUCCAACUUUAGUUCAAUUAAUACCCGGAGAGAAGGGAUUUCAACUUCAAUGGGUAAAACUGCCUCCAUCCCUUAAACUAGAGAAAAAGGCGUUGCCUCGAUAGAAGUCCUGAUAGAUGUUUGAUAGGCAAGGAGAGCAAAUGGUAAUUUCUCAUGCCAGUCAUUACAAGUUUCAGCCAUUUUCCCCACAUUUUUCUUGAUAUUUUUGUUGGCCGCCUCUAUUGCACCAUUCAUUUUUGCGCGAUAUGGUGACGAAUUAUAGUGUCUGAUCUUGAAUUGACUGCAGACUUUCGCUAUUGUGCUGUUAUUCAAAUUCAGCGCAUUGUCAGAUAUGGUUCUUUCAGGCAUUCCAUAUCGACAUAUGAUCUCUUUUUUUAAGAACUUACUGAUUGCUGACUUCGUGACAUUAGUAUAUGAAGCCGCUUCUACCCAUUUAGUGAAAUAGUCAAUAACCACAAAGAUGAAACGGUGCCCAUUAGAAGCCUUCGGCGAUAUUGGCCCGAUGACAUCUAUACCUAACAUGGAGAAAGGCCAUGGAGAAGUCAUAACGUGAAGAUGUGAAGGAGGUGCGUGCAUUUUGUCCCCAUAAAUUUGGUAUUUAUGGCACUUCUUGACAUAAUUGAUGCAACCUCUUUCCAUGGUGGACCAGUAAUACCCGAAUCUCAUAAUCUGUCUAGCCAUGGUGAAUCUGUUGGCAUGUAUUCCGUACCCUCAUGGAUUUCUUCCAAAAUUUCCUUGAUCUCCACAGCGUCCACACAUCUCAAUAGUACUUGAUCCUUUCCCCCUUUUGUAUAAAAUCUCUCCAUCUAAGACAUAGUCAAUGGCUAGUCUCUUUAAUGUCCUCUUAUCAUUCUUCGUUGCCUGAUUAGGGUACUCGUAAUUCUUCACAUAUUGCAAUAUAUCUUGGUACCAAGGAUGGUUAUAAUUUUCCUCUUCCUCAAUAAUAUAACAAUGAGCCGGGGUUUCAUAAAUGCUGAUUUGAAUAGGCUUCAUGCCUUCUAGUUUGUUCAUUUUGAUCAUGGAGGCUAGGGUAGCCAGAGCAUCAGCCAUCUGAUUUGCUUAUCGUGGGAGAUAACAAAAAGUGAUACUGUCAAACUUUUCGAUCAACUCCAGAACCAAUCUCUGAUAACGGAUUAACUUUGGGUCUCUAGUUUCCUAUUCCCCUUUGACCUGGUAUAUUACCAAUGCCGAGUCCUCGUAUACCUCUAUUAUCUUAAUUUUUCACUCUAUGGCUGCCUGGAUGCCCAUGAUGCAAGCUUCAUAUUCAGCCAUGUUAUUAAUACAAUCAAAAUCCAAUUUACUAGUAAAAGGAUAAUGAUCUCCAUUUGGGGACACAAGGACUGCCCCAAUCCUAUUACCUACAAACUUUGAAGCUCCGUCGAAAUUUAACCUCCAAGGAUGAUUCUCUUGAGAAUCUUCUUCAGUAGUUGUCACACACAUCAAGUUUUCAUUUGGGAAAUCAAAAUCCAGAGGUUCAUAAUCUUCUAAAGCUCUGCUGGCCAAAAAGUCUACUAUCCCACUCCCUUUGACAGCCUUCUGAUUUACAUAUACUAUAUCAAACUCGGAGAGCAAAAUCUGCCAUCUAGCCAUCUUCCCAUUCAACACAGUUGAGUCUAUCAUAUACUUUAAAGGGUCUAACUUUGAAAUUAGCCAAGUCGUAUGGUAUAGCAUGUAUUGCCUCAAUCUCCGUGUUGUCCAGAUCAAGGCACAACAUAAUUUUUAAUAGGUGAAUAUCUCAUUUCACAAUCAGUGAAUUUCUUACUGAGAUAGUAUAUCACCUUUUCUUUCCUUUCAGUCUCAUCAUGCUGGCCCAACACACAUCCCAUGGAAUUAUCAAACACCGUUAAAUACAAAAUCACCGGCCCAUCCGAACUAGCUAGUGACAGCACUAGAGUAUUGGACAAGUAUUGUUUUAUCUUGUCAAAAGCUUUCUGGCAUUCUUCACCCCACACACCUGGAUUAUGUUUCUUCAAAAGACGAAAUACGGGGUUACAUUUCUCGUUCAGUUGUAAAAUGAACCGAGCAAUGUAAUUCAGUCUUCCUAAGAAACCUCGACCUUCUUUCUGAGUACGUGGUGGAGGCAAAUAUCGUGUCGCCUUGACUUUGUCUGGAUCGAUCUCGAUUCCUUUUUCACUGACUAUGAAGCCCAACAGCUUUCCUAACUUGGCUCCGAAAGUGCAUUUCGUUGGAUUAAGCUUGAGCUGGAACUUUCUCAGUCUUAAGAACAAUUUUCUCAAGACCUGCACAUGUUCCUCUUCUGUUCUGGAUUUUGCAAUCAUAUCAUCAACGUAAACCUCAAUUUCCUUGUGCAUCAUGUCAUAGAACAAGGCUACCAUGGCUCUUUGAUAUGUCGCUCUUGCAUUCUUUAAUCCGAAUGACAUCACCUUAUAGCAAAAUGUUCCCCAUAAGGUAAUGAACGUGGUCUUUCCCAUAUCUUCAGGAUGCAUCUUUAUCUGAUUAUAUCAGGAGAAACCAUCCAUAUAGGAAAACAGUGAAUGACCCGCCGUAUUAUCCACUAAAGUGUCAAUAUGAGGCAAUGAGAAGUUGUCAUUUGGGCUGGCCUUGUUCAAGUCUAUGUAAUCCACACAUAUUCAUACUUUCCUAUAUUUUUUAAGGACUGGGAUGAUGUUGGCUACCCAUUCAAAAUAUUUGACCUCUUGUAAAAAACCAGCAUCAAACUACUUUUUGACUUCCUCCUUUAUUUUAAGCACAAUAUCAGGACUCAUCCUUCUGAGCUUCUGCUAAACUGGCUUGCAAUCCUCUCUUAUAGGAAGGCGAUGCAUUACAAUGUCAGUGCUUAACCCGGGCAUAUCCUGGUAUGACCAUGCGAAGAAAUCUUUCAAUUCUUGGAGUAAUUCAACGAGGUAUCACCUUGUCUUUGUGGAAAUAUCAAUUCCAAUCUUCACCUCUUUUCUUUUUUCUAAGCUCACAAUUUCUAUUGAUUUCUUGUGAGGUAGGAUUUGUUUUUCUUCCUGUUCUACCAUCCUCAACAAGUCCGGAGAUAAAUCACAAUCUACGUCAUCUUCAAAGUCGUGCGAUCCCUCUAAAUACAUGUUUCGUUCAAAAGGAAAUUCAGAAUUUGUAGCAGCGUUACUCAUGUCAUCGAUAUUCAAGGACCUAUUGUAGUUACAAAAGAAUAUACAAAGAAUGUAUGAAUUUAUGAAUAAUUAUUUGUACAGUAUGAUUAUGAAUGAAAGAAUGAUUUAAAAGAAAAUCCAAAAAAAAUUAAAGAAUUAAAAAUAAUUUCUCGUAUGGAAAGAAUGAAAGAAUAUUUGCUCAGAAUGAUUGCAAAUAUGUACUUCAUUAAAAUAAUGAUGUUUCGACAUGAGCCCAUUUCACAAAAGAGUUCUUAUUGUCUCUAGGCUAAAACAAAAAGUGUGUUCUAAAUAUUACUUUAAGAAAGCUCUAAAAACAUCAGGUAUUUCUUCUACGGUCCAAUUAUUUAGAACACUCCCAGGCUCAUAAGGACGUAUAUCUAACAAGGUCCAUUCUUCAUUUGUGUCUUCAUGUAUGGCAUUGAUGUGAACAUUUUCCAACAUCUCUUUGAUGCUUUCUUCCAACAGUAUCCUUCUCUUAGGAUGAAUGAUGCCUCCAGAUACAAAGGUUUUGGAUAUGUGGGGAUUUAUCAUUGGUUCCUAUUUAAUUACCUCCCCAUUUAGGCGUGCCAUUCUUCUUUCUUGCCUUCUUUCUAACUCCUUCUUUCUUUGUCUUAUAUCUGGCUUGUAUCCUAAGCCAAAGCGAUCUUGUUUUUCUUUUAGCACUGGUGCCUCAAUUCUUCCUUGAAGAUGUCUCUCUAAUCCUCUUCCGGGUAAGGCUCCUUUCCCUACCAACAACUGUAACCCCAUCUCUGUGGUUUUGGAUAUUUUAGGCAUUGGAAUUUUGUUCCCCUUAGAAAUAAAUGUUGCAUUUACAAACUCUAAAGAUAGAAAGGACCAUUCAACUGCCUCAUCAUUAGUUUCCACGUACAGCGCAUAAUUGGCUACAGCCGCUAUGAUAUCCUCUUUGGCAUUUAUUGUCACCAACCGACCUUCUGACACUAGUUUCAACUUCUGAAGUAAUGAUGACGGUACAGCCCCCGCCGAAUGUAUCCAUGGUCUUCCUAAUAAGUAGGAAGGCUUGAUAUCCAUUACAAAGAAAUCCACCUCGUAGAUAGUCAGACCAAUUAAUAAGGGUAUUUCGAUUCUUCCCAUGACCUUCCUUUUUGUGCCAUCCAAUGCCCUCACUAUAUUCUGGCAUGUCUUCAUGUGCGAGCUAUCCACGGGCAGUCUGUUAAGUGUGGAUAGGGGCAAUACAUUCAAUGUUCAUCCGUUGUCGAUGAAAACUCUUAGCAAAGUAUACCCUUUGCAUCGGGUAGUAAUGUGCAAAGCUUUAGUAGACCCCAUACCCCCAGGUGGUAUUUCAUCAUCGUUGAAGAAAAUAAAGUUAUCUGCACUUAUAUUAUUGACCAGCCGAUCUAAUUUAUUGACAGAGAUAUCAUUGGCCACUUAGGUUUCAUUCAGCACUUUCAUCAAUGCACUUCGAUGCACCUCUGAGCUCAAGAGUAAGGCUAACACAGAUAUGCGAGCUAGUUGUUUAUGCAGCUGUUACACAACACUAUACUCGCUAUGCUUCAAGAAUUUAAGGAAUUCCUUGGCUUCUUCCUCUUUUACUAGCUCGUUGAUAGGUAACACAGGCUCGGUUGUUGUCCUCUUCUUUUGUUCUGUCACUAUGACCUUUCCUUUAAUAGGUUCUGUUUGAGGACUUAUCAAAUCAUAGUGUUUGCCACUACGCGUAUGAGAACCUAUACCCUGAUCCUCUUUUGCAGCAUUGGCUAAAGUCUCCCUUCCUAGGAUGGUUACGUUGCACUUAUAGUUCCACGAGACUUUCUUGCUAUCCUUGUAAGAGAAGGUUGCAGGUUUCUGAAUUAUGAUUUUUAGCAUUACCGGUACUCCCACUUCAUUAUUCUUUGGUCGCGAGAUGAUGACCAUAGGAUGAUUUACUUUCGGAACCUUUGUCAUUGAUUUCGACGCGCAUAUACUUCGUUCUUCAUUGACUUCUUCGUAGAACUCUACUUCCUUAUCAUCCAUCAUGCCUUGAACCAAGACUCUGAAUUCUAUGCACUCUUGGAUCUUGUGCCCUUCUCCGUGAUGGAACUAAUAAUAAUUUCUCGUCUUUUUGUAGCUCCCUUUUAAAUUCAAAAUGAUUAACCCCCUUUCUACCAUCUUCUUCCAGACCCAUAUCAAAUGAGUUCUUACUUCUGUAAUGUCUGCCUUAAUUCUUCUCCCCAUGUUUCCACUCAUCAUGUUUACCCCAUUAUCAGUAUGAUUAGGUAAUGGAUUUUUUGCACUGGAUGAAUUAUCAAAUUUGACAAUGCCCAUACUAAUGAGCUUUCAACCAGCGUUUUAAAGGCAGUGCAAUUUUCUAUGGAAUGCCCCAUAAUUCCCGUAUGAUAGUCGCAUUGUGCAUUUACAUCGUACCAUUUGGGGUACGGAGGUUGUAGAGGUUUUAAGUAGAAAGGGGAAACAACGUGUGCAUCGAAUAAACUUUAAUACAACUCCCUAUACGACAUUGGAAUUGGCGUGAACUCGAGCUUCUCAGUGUUUUUUCUUGUGUCGAAUUCUUGUCUUGAUGAACCUUGUUGGUUAGCAGCCACCUUUCUUACCUGAUUCACCGUAAUCGAUUUUAAGUAACCCUUUCUAUAUGUACUCAUAUUGUUCACAUUAUUUUCCUUUUUCUUCGAGGCCGACCUUCUGUUACUUUCUCCAGCAUCAAUCUUCCCACUCCUUAUGGCGUUUUCAAUCAUUGCACCAUUCAUGACUAUGUCAGAAAAACUUUUUGUGGCACUUCCUAACAUAUGUAUGAUAAAUGGGGCUUUCAGUGUGUUAAUAAAGAGUAUUGUCAUUUCUCUUUCCAGGAGCGAUGCUGAACUUAGAUGGCAACCUCCCUCUACCUUUGUGCGUAUUGCCUAAAACUUUCAUUCGACUUCUUUUCCAUAUUUUCUAGGGUGAUUCUAUCAGGAAGCAUAUCUGUUACGUGACUGUACUACUUCAUGAAUGCUUGUGCUAAAUCCCUCCAUGAACUAAUCCUGGUACGGCUCAAUUGAUUGUACCAUUUAGAUGCUACCCCUGUGAGGCUAUCUUGGAAGCAAUGUAUUAGCAGUUGGUCGUUAACAUAUCCAGUCAUCCGUCUACAAAACAUGGUAAUAUGAGCUUCAAGGCAACUGGUCCCAUUGUACUUCUCAAAUUCUAGCAUUUUGAAUUUGUAAGGGAGUACCAAAUCCGGGACCAAGCUCAGAUUUUUAGCAUCAAUCCCAUGGUAGCUCUCAGUGCUUUCCAUUGCCCUGAAUUUUUCUUCGAGCCAUUUACACCUUUCCUCUAGCUGUUUUUGCAAUUCCUCAUUUGUUUUUUCUUUUUCAUCCAUUUCAUCGAAUUUAAGGAUAGUAGGAUUAAUAGUGUUAUCUCCAGGGUUAGAGCCUGAUCCGCCUUGAAAGCUCAUUGGUGUUGAGGCACCGACCUGAAACUACUGAGGCCUGAUUGUGACAGAGGAUUUACGCGGGUACACCUCAGCUUGGGUCUGCACAUGUGGAGGAGUAAAGCCUGGGGGAUACAGAGGUCCCUCAUUGUUUCAUUCUUCAACAUUAGCCAUAGGGCCCUUUCCUUUAUUAUUUCCCCCAGCCAACAAUUGAGUCAACUGAGUCAUCAUGUUUCUUUGAGACUCCAACAUUUUGUCCAUCAUAUCUUGCUGAAUCUUAGCUAGCUGCUCUUGCAUUUGCAGCUGAAGUUGGUCUUGCAUUUCAUUUUGGAACAGUUCAAGUCUUUCCAAUCUUUGGUCCAUGUCUUUGGUUUUUGCUCGAGUACCGUAACGAUGUUUGUUUGGUUGGUUGGUUUCCAGAUUAACUGAGGAAUUAUUUUAAUCAAUUAGGAUCUUUUAAUAGUAUUUAAUGCAUAUGAUGCAAUGCAACGUAUGAAAUGAAUGCAAAAAAGGCGUCAAUUCUGAUUCAUUUCCAUUUAGAAAACUUUACUAGAAAAUAAAUUUCUUUACAUAAAAUGGGCUACAAAUAAGGUUUUGCCCUAAUACUUAGAACUCUAAUAUUCCUAAGUAACGAGGCUAACUCUUGCCCCUAAUCUGAUUCCAAUUCAUACUUCACACUCAGCAUAUCGGCCUGCACUGCCAAAGUCUACAGGUGAUCAGCUACCUCUCGAAUCUGAACCACGGCUUCUCCCAUAAUAUGAUCCCUGUUUCUAACUUGAUUCUAAAAGUAGUGAAGCUGCUCAUUAUGACGAUCUUCGUUUGCUUCCAAGUACUCGAUCCGGAUCUCACAAUUUUGCAAUGCCAUUUCUAACUCGUCUAUUCUUUUUUUCAUUUAUUCAAUCCUGCUCAAGCUCGCUCUCAACUCUAUUGUAGAAUUUCAAUUUCGAUACUGACGAAAAGAUCUUUCUAACUCGGUCACUCUGUCCUUUAGUUCACUUUUUUCCUUUUAGUUCUUUGACAAACUCUUCUCUAAAGCCUCAUUUCGUGUUUGAACCUCCUGGAAUUUCCUUUCCCAUCUAUCGACCUUGUUCUUUUCUUCUCGAAUCUCUUCAUGCCACUGCUCUAAAGUUUUCCCAAACCCGACAGUUCUCAUUUACAGGCGCAGUCUCUUAUAAUUUUUCUUCAAGCUAUCUAAAUCCUUCUCAGCUUUAUUUUUCCCUUUUCUUAAUUUUUCAAUCUCGAGUUUUUGAACAUCCAUGUCUAAUCUCAAGUUCAUUUUUUCUUCUUCCAUUUGUUCUAUCUUCUUUUCUAAUUUUGCAUUUCUUCUUUCAAAAUCUUGUCUUAUGAUUUCUAGCUCAGAAGAGACAACCCGCAAAUGUUGCUCUAAUGACUGACUGUUUCCCUAACUUGGCUUGGGGAUAUUAUCAGUGAUCCCCCUAACCCACCAUUCAUUCCACGAUUAAUCUCUUCAUCCGGCGAGUCUGGUUCCAUGCAUUGGACAUCUCUCAAAUCUUCUUUUUGUAACCAUCGCCCUUGUAUGGGAAUUCACACUAAACUAUUCCCUAGGUUGUGGGUAUAAAUUGCCUUGACCUAUACUGCCUGAUUACUAGCAGCGGGGCAUAACCAAUAGCUCCUCAAAUUCCAUGAAGAGGAACCCAAUCAAAAUCACAGCAUUGAUACAGGAUCUUAUCGAGAAGCAACCAAGGAGCUCUCCACUCGAUGUCCUCUUCCUGAAGAUUCUGAAGAAUUGCUACCCAUUUCUACUCCAAGAUGACAUCCCUUCUCGGUGUAGCUACUAUCUCUUUCAGUGGAAAAUAGUUUUCGGAGAAGACCCGAUACGAAACCUUAUCAACCUUCCAGAAGUGACUGUGGAACCAAGUGAUUAGGAGCUGCGUACAUCUGAUGAAUCUACCCUCCCCCGCUUUUCGGCAUAUAUUCAGUGACCUGAAGGUUUCUGCCAAAAUUAUCGGGACUAGUGUAACUCUCUUAUCAAGCCGGUUGAAUAAAUCAGUAACUGCUUCAUCAACGUGCCUAAAGGCUUUGGGGAAGACAACUAAGCCGUAUAUACUCAAAGCAAAGACAUCUACUCUCUUCUUCGUAUCUGGGUGUGCUAGAAUUAGAUCCUUCAAGCUCUUUCAGGGAAUGCACUUACUAUCCCCCUUCUUCUUGAUCCGAGUUGCAACCCACUGCUCGCUCAUCCCAGUUAUAUUCAUCAACUUCUUCAAAAAGGUUAGUACAUUUACAGCUCUCGAGUAGGCUCUGUCUGCUUGAAUCUUUGAACACCAAAGUAAAGCCAUAUAUUCUUCUAUUGUAAGCACCAAAUUGACCUUCCCAAAUGUGAAGCAACUGUAAGCAGGAUUCUAAAACUGGGCGAGAGCUCGAAACAGGUGCUUGUCUACCUUCAUAUCAAGCAGAAAGGAAAAUUCCCAUAAUUAGAGUAGAACAGCUGUCUAACCUCAUCGUUCCAUUGAUCUUAUAUUUCCUUCAACUCUUGCAAACUGUUUUGAGUUAUGCUAAUGCGAGUAAAGUCCCAUAGUUCCAAUGCAUACCCCUCAGCCAAACUAUCACCUUUCUCACGCUGUUUUGUUUCGGACCAAGUUCAGACAAUCGCAUUAUCCUCCGCUUUAUCAAGAAACCCUUUUCCAUGAUAAGCUUUCUAUCUAGCAACUGAAUAUGAACCAACGCCUUUUAUAAUGAAAUGCCAUGUAGUUGAAAUGCCAUGCAAUCAAAAUAAGACACAAAAAGUCAGUAUCAUGUAUAAACAUAGAAUCCAAUACAAUCAAGAAAUAACAAAACACUUAUUUGGGUAUCUAUUAGGGUCUGGUGUAGUUCUACCUAGGGUGAGUUCCUAAGGUUCACUAUGAAGUUUGGCUUCUAGGUCAAAGGUACCUGAACUAGCCGAUUCCUCAAUCCUCACCCAUUAUAGGCUCAUGCAGGCCGAGUUCGGUUCAGUGGAAUACAUUUCCCUAUGACUAUACGGAGAUGAAAAUCUCAUGAAGGCAUAGGUACAAAUGUAUCCCGAAAGUGAUCCACUAUCCUAUACGGAGGUGAGAACCUCACGAAGGAAUAGUUUUUCACUCCCACUUAAAAGGGUAAAAUCGUCAAUCUCAUAUAAUAUGCAAUGCAAAUACACUAACAGACCUAGACCAACCGAGCAAGAAAACAAUAAUGCAAAUGGGAUAUCAUGAAUUUUAAAACAAGUUUUGACUGUUCGACCAUAAGACAGAAAUUAAUCAAUUUGUGGCUCGACUCUUAAAACAGUCCUCAGUGGAGUCGCCAAGCUGUCGAAACCACUUUUUGAAAUGAUAAUAAAUUAUAUAAAAAUAUCAUGUAAUAAUAAAAAUAAUAAUAAAGUAAUGAAUUAAUUAAUAGCAAAAAUAUCAAACAAGACUAAAUUGAAACAAAAAUAGAAAUUCUGGGGCAAAUAUGAAAUAAAUAAAAAUAAAAAAGACCAAAUCGAGUGCACGAAUAACAAGGAGGGACUAAAGCAGAAAAUAUCCCCGCCCUGCCAAAAUGCAGCACCUUACAUGGAGCAAAAAUGAAAUCAAAGUAAAAUUUUAAGGCAAAAUUAGGAAUAAAAGAAAACUAAAUUGCAAAACCAUUAAAAGGUGGAAAGAACGAGGUUGUAAAUAACCCAUUUAACAAAAACACGUGGAUCCCAGUGGAGUAGGUCGGGUCGCGCACGGGUGGCCCUAUACGGCGUCGUUUUCGAUUGUUAUGUAAACCAAAAAAGCUGUUUUAAAAAAACAUUUUUAGAAGCUAUUUUUUGUUCAAAAAAAAUAGGGGCUCUUCUCUGCUAGGGUUUCACAUCCCAACUAGCCCACCGUGCCUCCACCGCGAUUCCACCGUGAACGGUGGUUGAAGUUGCACCACGAAUGGCCUUUCGCUCCUUUUCGCGUGAAUCCGAAGGCGUCUAAGGUAAACCCUCUUCUUCCCUUUUUAAUAUAUAUAUUUUAUUUAAAAAAACAAAUCGAAACUAAAAGGAAAAAAAGGGAAAAAAAUAGAAUACUACAUUCUAUCUCUCAAAAAAACUCAAAUUGCCAGUAAAUCAUUUUUUUGAUUGAUCUUCUCCCUCCCUUUUUAAAAUAUCAAGUCUGCUUUUUAUAGAAGAUAAUGGAAAAAGAAAAUUUUAAAAAAAAUCUAAUUUUAAAUGCGUUAUCUGCUUGUUGCCUUUGGUUUGCAAUUUUUCUGAUUUUCUUGCUUUUUUUCCUGCCCGUGCUAUUUGUUGCCAUUUUUGUUGUGCAGGUACAAGCUCGGAGAGGACGCACGAGCGCAGAGGCGCAACACGUGCGGCACCUGGAUCUUCUAGGGUUUCUAUUUCGUGGUCUAGGGCUAGGCAUUGGGCCUCUGUAAUUGGGCCACUGUUUCUUGGGUUAGAGAUUUAGAUUGGGUCUUAGUGUAUUUUGCAUUUGGGCUUGUAAUAGGAUUUGGGUUUUGGCUAGCAAUUUUAAUGUAAUUGGACUGUAUUUGGACUUUGAAUUUUGGUUUUAUUUAUUUAUAUACGGGUCAGGCAAAUUGGGCCAAUUACAGAGUAAACACAAGAUGAAUAAUUCCAUCUUGAAAAGAAUAAAUACUUGACUUUUUUGUCUUAGCUAGCACUUGACACGACUCGACAACUGUAGAAGCUUUCUGCAACUUCGUGCUUUAAUGAGCAUCAAGUUGAAAAUGCUCCAAUUAAAUCUUCAUGUGUAGCUUUUCUUGCUCCGUAAAAUCGUCCAAAUAAAAUUCAUUCAUAAGCUUGUAGAUAUCUUCCGCCCAAAAAGCUUUGUAAUUAUCGCGUGGAUCCAAAGCAGAGCUAAGAACAAGUAACUCCACUACCUCAUCAUUAAAGUAAGAAUUCAUUUUUGUUAGCAAUGAAUCGAUACUAGUAAUGAAUAUAUCAAAGCUUUAGUGAUGCUUAAUUGUGAGGUUAUCUCUCUAGAUGCGAGACCAACCUCGACCAGCUUUGUACGGAGCACUUAAAUUUGAGACUUUUAUCUCAUGAUCUUUACAAAAUAAUUCAACUUUCUCAAAAAAAGGAUCCCACCCGUGUUCUUUGAAUUUCUAAAGAAGCGUUUUAGCUUAUGACAUCGGCUGCAUCACAUUUAGUAUGAACUUUGAGCAUAUGAAAUUUGUGUUGUUUAUGUCACAGUUGGUUCCAGUGCGUUUGGGCAAUAUUUUCCUUCUGGAUUUUCUUUGGUGUAUCAACAAUUAUAUUAACAAUGCAGUUGUGCCAUCAGUCUUAUUAGGUGCACAAUUUCUUGCCAUCUUUCAGCUACAAACCUGUUACUGUGAUAGUCUGAGGGAAGGUUUCCGUAGGAAAAAGCAAAAUAAUUCUUCUAGUUCAUCUAAUGGUUGUGGCUCAAAUGUGAAAUGCAAUAGUAGUGUUAAAGUAGGUCAUACUAAAAAUAUCAUCAAAGGUAGUAGUUAGAGUAUGGUUCAAUGCUCCUGUGCUAGUAUUUGGAAUAGCCUUGUUAUGUAUCCACUUCUACUUUUCAAGAAGGGUUAAAUAGAGAUAAGAGUAUAGACAGUGAAAACCAAGUUUAGUAUUGCAUAGCAGUUCUCAUUACUUCGAUGAUCUCGAAUUUCGCUAGUUAGUUAAAGCUGGGUAUCAGGUUGGGUAUGAACUAUUACGGGUUAUAAUGAUUUUCAAUGAGAUUAAGAGCGAGCUACAAUAAAUUUUAUGUCUGGAUUAUUUUGACGUUGAGAAGAAAUGCUUGAAUUAAAUUUCAUAGAGCUAUGACACAAGCCGAUCGACAGUUUGAAUGAGAAACUUAGAUUCUGAAAUACAUAAUACAUGGAUAUAUCAAUCAGAUCGGAGACAGUUGGGAAAAUUAUAAUUAUGGGUUAAAUUUGUUUUUGAUAAUAGAAGCUAGCAGAUUUGUAUUACAAAGGUACCAUUGGAAGCUUUUCAUGGAUGGAAUGUAGAACCCAGGUAUGCUACACAGAUGGAGCGACAACAAAUUAGUUGGGCCAGAGUAAUGGGAACUAUUAUCAGUUACGAGUUUCUAGUGCCGAUGAUGAAAUUAUUACAGGGAAACAUCAAAUUUAUUUAGUCAAGUUUGGUAUCUACUUAGUCUAAGCCAGAUAAGAAUUCAUUGUUUAUAAUUACGUUUCAUUCAGAUGACCUUGAAUCAUGAUGGUUUGAUUAAAAUGAAGUUAAGAGUUGAACCGUUAAUUCUACAGAGAAAUUUUGAGACACAGAGAGAAAUAUUUGAAUAUGUGCACUGAAUAAUUUUGAGAUUUUAUAGGACAUCCUAUAUGAGGUUCAUGGCAUUGUUUAUUUGAUCUCUAAAUCAGAUAGCAGCAAAAUGUAUAAGGGCUUGAGACAAAGUUACUGGUGCUCAGGAAUAAAACGUGAGAUUUCAAAGUUUAUACUGAGAUAUCUGAUAUGUCAAAAAGUCAAAGUAGAAUAUCAAGUAAUGUCUAUAAUAUUACGGUAUUGUAUGAAUUCUGAUUGGGAAUGAGUUACAAGACUACCUUUGAGGAAGAGAAAGAAGACUUGAUUUGAAUAACUUUUAUUAGGUGAAAAAAGAAUUUUGAGGAAGAAAUUUUCUUAAGGGGAAAGUUGUAACAACCCGUUUUUCAGCAUUGUCGAAAACAGUGGUUUUGAGGCUAUAAAUUCGAUGAGUGAUUUUGUAAAUAUUACUAUUUAAUAUUUACAAGUCAAAUAUUGUAUUAUAUUUGAUUUUGAUAUGGUAGUUUAUGUUAUUUGAAUGAAUAAUUUAAUUUAAGUGGUGUCCCUAAAGUCAAGUGGGUUUAGAAAAUAAGGUAUCGAAACCUCAUUUCUAUAAAUUGAGCCCAUAAAUAUUUUAUUAAAAUUUGGUUAAGAAAUUUUAAGGUUUAGGUAGUUAAUUAAUUAAAAAGGAUUAAAUUGCAAAGGUUGCAAAAGUAGGUUUCUAUUGAUUAAAUGGAUUAAAUGGCUAUGGAAAGGCAAACUAAAGGAUCUAGAUGGUAAUUAUACUAUAUAUAUUAGUGGUGGACAAAUAUGGACAUAUUCUAGUUACUUUAUAAGUUAUAACUUAAGGUUAAAUAAGUAAAUAAAUAAAUAAAAGUUUAAUUUAAUAAGCCAAAAUAGCAUCAUCUUCUCCAAAUUGCUAAUUUUUCAAAUCGAAACCCUUGUUGAGAAGAUGAAGCUUUCGGCCAUGGAGUUUUACAUGCAUGGUAUGUUGUUAAGUCAUGUUUUUAGUGAUUUUUAUAUUUUUAAGCUCAUAUUAACUUAAUUUAGUUAGCCUAGGGGCAAUUUGUAAAGUUAUGAAAUGUUUAGAAUUAUGCCAUGGAUGUAAUUGAUGUGUUAUGAAUUUAGAUAAUUGAUUAUUAAAUUUGGCUGUUAAAUAAACAAGUUUUGUUAAGUAAUUUUUAGUGAUUUUAAUGUUUAGGGAUUUAUUUGUGAAUAUGGUAAAAUUCAAGGAAAACAUUGUAAAUUUUUGAUAAUUAUGGGUUUUUAUAAGAUUGGGUAAAAAUCGGCUAGCAUGAAUUAUGGUUAAAAAUGGUGAAAUUUCAAGUUUCGGGUUUAGGGACUAAAUUGCAUAAAAUUAAACUAUUAGGGAUAAUUUUGUAAUUUUGCAAUAGUAUGGAUUAUAAGCUUGAAUUAAAUAUUUUAAGUUAAUUGAAUGGUUUAAUUGAUUGGAAAAUUAUUAUUUAGAUCAAGAAACGCUACAAUUGAAGUUAAAUCAAAGAAAAGCUUAAGUUUUAGAUUAGUUGUCGACUCCGUUUUAACAACAGUUCUAGUUGAGGUAAGUUCAUUUAAGGAUGGAAAUUCUUAUUUUUUCCAUUUUGUAUGAAUACAAAUAGUUAUUUAUGUUAUGCUAAAAUUAAUUGAUAAAGAUGUGAUAAAUUAAUCGAAUUAAAUAAUAUGAGAACUAAUACUAAUGUAUUUAGUGAUUUUUAAUUAUAGAUUGUAUAGUUUAAAGGUUACUUUAAUUAGAGUAAGUUCAUAGUAUUUCAAUAUGUAAAUGUAAUUUGCUAGUGAAUUAUAUUAUCGUUCUUUAGUCAAUUGAUGUACAUAUGUAUAUAGGUGAAAUUACCUUGGAUAUUUAUAUAACUAUGUGUGUUACAAAUAUUUUUGUAUCUAUGAAGUUGAUAAAGAAUAUUAGUAGUGCUUUUCUUGGAAUCAUAUUAAAAUUAUAUAUGAAUGAAAUGAAUUUAAAUAUGUAUACGAAAAUGAAGAAAGUGUUCCUGAAAUGCACAUUAGUGCCCCUGUUUGCACUUUGGUGCCCUUAAAUGCACAUUUGUGCCCCUGAACACACAUUUGUGCCCCUGUUCGCACUUUGGUACCCCUGUAUACACUUUAGUGUCCCUGCUUGCACGUUUGUGCUCCUGUUCGCACUACGGUGCCCUUGUAUACAAUUCGGUGUCCCCGUUUGCACGUUUGUGCCCUGUUCGCACUUUAGUGCCCCUAUUCUGUAUAUUCGAUGCCCCUGAUAAUGGAGUAAUGAUCGAUUAUGUGAACCGAGUACUAAUGAUUUGGACUAAAUGAUAUGGAUUGUUACAUGGAAUUGGUGUAAUUACUCGAGUACUUAAGUUAAGUUCCUAGUUCAUCGGGCUAUGAAAUAAUUGAAUUGCAAUCUAUUUAUAUGCUUAUAUAUUACGUCAUAAUUAUGGUAUUUGUAAGUGAAACAUAUUAUAAUGAAUUUAUUAGUUACAUGUAUGGAUUGUUACUUUGAGGAUAUGUGACUUAUGGCAUGAAAAGUCCUUUGAAUUGAAGGUUGUUUUAAUGUAUUUUGAUUGAAAAGGUAACAUUUGAGUUAUGUGGACAAAUGAUUUAUAUAGUGAAAUUCUUUUCAUAGUAUGAACGAGUUAGUAAAACUUUACAGAAUAUAUGAUUGUAUAAAAUGAUCUAUGAUUUAAUGUAAGAAUAUGAAAUUUAUGAUAAGGUUAGUUAAAAGAAGAUGAAGGUAUAUGAUAGUCAUAUAAUAGAUGAUUGGUGAAAUUGAAAUGCUUGAUAUAUUUUAUGCAUCAUUUGGGUUGGAUUUAUGUGUAUUGCUUCACCUAUUAACCUUUUGAAGUAUGAUGUAUAGGCAAAGGAAAUUUUGGUCUAUGAUUAAAUGAGUUUUCUCAUGGUUGAUUAAUCCAAUGCAAUUGGUAAGUUUAAGAUCUUUUAUAUGAGCUUAUUAAGCAUUAGUUGCUUAUAUAGUUGUUUUCUUUAUUUUGUAGAUAUAACAGCCCGGUUUAGACCUUAUUCGGACAGUGGUUUCGGGACCACAAAUCUGAGUCAGAAAAAUAUUUUAAUAUAAUUUUCGUGCUUAUAGUAUGUGAAUUGAUAUGUGUAAAAUUUUCGUGAUUUAAUUUAUCUGUUUGUGUGCUUAAUUUGUGAAAAGGGCUAACUCACAUAAAAAGUAAAAGUGGCAUUCUUAUUGUUAAUAUGCUAAUUUGUUAUGAUUCGAUUUAUGGGAAGUCCUUAAAAGGUUAUUGUGCCAUUAUAAAGUUAGUGGACAUUUAUGUCCAUGAUUCAAAUGACUUAAAUUAUUGUUUUAUUUAGGUUAAAAUAGUAAAAAGGUUAAUAACAUUAAAUAAAAUAAAGUAAAACAUAAAAAAAGGCCAUGCAUGUUCAUUUUAUUUGUCCGAAAUUUGAGAAAGGAAAAUAAGCUCUUGAGCUUUCAAGUAUUCGAGACUUUGGAGCCAAAAAGUUGGUAUGUUUCUUGUUCGGUUUUCGAUAAUUUUUACGUUUUUGAGAUCGUUGCUUCGUAUUCUAGCUAGCUCGUGUACUAAUUUUUGAAUUGGUUAAUGAAUUUGUGAGUUGCCAUUGAUGAUAGCUUGAUGUUUUUGUUUCUUAAUGAUGAAAAAUAAAUAUUUGUUGAUAGAUUAUUAAAUUUUGUUAAGUAAUUUUUGAUAAAAAUUCAAAUUAGGGAUUUAAUUAUGAAAAUGAGAAAUUGAGGGGCUAAAAUGUGAAACAAAUGAAAUAUGUGGGCCUAUAUGAGCUAAAGGAAUAUUCGGCCAAGCUAUGAUGUUGUCAAAUUUUGAAUAUUUUGUGUUUUGUGAAAUAGGGACUAAAUUGUAAAAAAUGUGAAAUAUUAGGGGUUAAAUUGAAAUUUUCCCAUUUAUGUAUUUUUGGAAUAAAUUUGAAUGAAAUGUGUUAUUAAAUAGCUAAAUUUGAAUUUAUUUAGAUCAAGAACAAAAGAAAACAGAAUUAGAACGAGGGAAGUCGAAAGUGGUCGAGUAGUCGAUUUCAUCCGCUUGUCUUCGUCUAAGGUAAGUUCGUAAGUAAAUUAUUGAAGUUAAAUUUACUGUAUUUAUUUCAUGUAUAGCCGAAUCUAAAUGUGUAUGUGUACCCUAUAAUGCUGAAUUAUAUUUGACAAAUGAUGAUUAAUUACAUGUUUUUAAUUGAUUAAUUUACGACAUCUGAAAGUCAUACGAACUACAGAAAUGCUGAAAUGUGACAUCGUGUAAGACCACGUCUUGGACGUUGGCCUCGAUUUGAGAUUUGCAUGUAAGACCAUGUCUGAGACAUUGGCGUCAUAUAAGAUUACAUGUAAGACCCUGUUUGGGACAGUGGCAUCGUUGUUUGAUUACUUGUAAGACCACGUCUGGGACGUUGGCAUUGUACGAGCUUUUUAUGCCGAUCGAGUAUCAUUUCUCUGAAUUCGAAAGGUAUAACGGGAAAUCAUAUGGUAAAACCGAAUGUGAGUUUGAUUUAAACAAUUCAGGUAUGUUUAAGUUAUACGAAAUUGAAAGUAAAGGUAGGUAGUAUAAAUAAAACAUGAAAAGAAGAAUUAAUCGUAUAAAAAUGAUUAUAUAUGUAUGUGUACAUGAAUAGUAGAAUUCGGCCUACAAGUGUAAUUUUUAUGAGUUCUUUGAAAAUUAUGUGCUUACAACUUACUAAGCUAUUUAAGCUUACUGUGUGCUUGUUCAUUCAUUGUUUUAUAGAUUUUGGAAUCUUGUUACGAGUUCGGGAGUCGUCAAGGAAGUCCGUCACACUAUCGAUCUCUAUCUCGGUAUUUUGAAAAUUCAAAAUUUUGAACAUAUGGCAUGUAGAGGCUAGUAUUUGUAUUGUUUAGUCAUAAAGUGUGUAUAUAUAAUUAGCCAUGCGAAAAUGGCUUAAUCUUGAUAUUAAUACUUAUGUGUUCGGUUAUGGUAAUAGUAUAUUAUGAAAAAAUAUUUCAUGGUAUUUAUAUAUGUGUGGUAUUUGAUUAUAUAGAUUUGUUAUAAUGUUUAAGCUUGUGUAUUAUGGCCAGAGUUUGAACCUAUUAUGAAAGUAGGUUAUUGGUAUAUAUAUAUAUGCAUGAGAUGUGAAAAUAAUUUUUGAAUGGUGGAUAGUUGUAUAAUUUAGCUUAGUAAUGUAGUAAUGAUAGAUAUGUAAUGGAUAAGCAUGCAUAUAUUAUAUAGGUUUGGAAAAAUGAAUUUUUAGGUAUAGUUCAUGAUGAAAUUGACAUGAUUUAUUUUUGGAGGUUAAUUGUGAUGAUCGAAUAUGUGGUUAAGGGAUUGGCUAUGUGUACGGAAGUUUUAAGUAUGUGAUUGAAGUGUACUUAAAGUAUGAUAUAUAUAUAUUCGAAAUGGUUCAAAAUAGCAUGGUCUCUUGCGCAUAAAAUUGUAAUGAGAAAAAAAUGUAUGAUUUGGUGUUAUAAUUUGAGGUAUAAUUAUCUUGGAAAUAGUUUGUGAGUUAGUAUAUAAUGUGCAUGCAAAUUCGGAUAUUCAGUAGUGAAAAUAAAUGUAUAAACUAGUAAUGUAACCACUUAAGGUUGGUUUACUAUGAAUAGGUUCGUGAGGGUAUGAUAUGUUUCAAUAUGAGUGAUUGAAGUUUGCUCAAAAUAUUGUGGAUAUAUGCGCAUAACCUCAUGAUGAGUGAAAUGGUAUAUUUGGCCUUAUUGUAAUGGUUAUAUAUAUAUGGUAUGGCUUGAUUAUGGAAUUUGCAAAUGAAGUAUACUAUGAUUUGUAGUACGUGUUAUAAAUUGGUUUAUAUUAAUUAGGUAAAUUGAGUGUAAGACUCUGAUGAUUUAAAUUUCAUACUUGACCACUUGUUGAGGUUGGUUAGGCUGAAUAUGUUGGGUCUAUAUGCUGUGUGAUAUUGCAUAGUAGUAUAAUUUGUAUGGUAUAAGUUUUAUAAUAAUAUAAGCUUAGAUAAUAUUGUUUUUUUUAAAGCAAAUGAGAUGAAUUUAGGAGUUUUAAGCUCUGAAAUUUGAAUGGGAUAAAUGUAUUGAUGUGGUUAAUUUAUGAAACAGGAAUUGUAAUGAAUGUGUUAUGAGCUAUGAUUUGUUCGGUAAUGCCUCAUAAUCCUAAUCUAGCGACGGAUACGAGUUAGGGUUGUUACAGUAGAUCAUCGGAAAGCUCGAACAGUUGGAAUCUUUGUCGGGGCACGAUCACACUAUCCAUCGAUCUACUUUGGUAGCUUUUGAAUAUAUUGAAAUGGUUAUAAGUGGCAUGUAUAGGGUUGUAUGGUAUUUUGGUAUGAUUUGAAUGUAAUAAGGUUUUAAGUUUUGAUUUGGUGAUUGGAUUGUUUUUGAAUGGUUCCAAGUCAUUUUUGUUUAUGUCUUUUGAUAAAGGUUUGUUAAUGGUGUGUAUUCAUAUGGGAUGAUAGUAGCUAUGCACACUCUCAUGUAGGUAAAAAGAAAAAGGUUGUUUGAUAUGUUUGUGAUAUGGUCAUUUGGUAUGCAUAAGGAAUGCUAAGUGAUGUAAAAUUAUAUUGUUGAAUAGGUUCAAAAUUUAUUGUAAUAGUGGUACCUAUUGUUGGAACAUUGGUUAGAACAUAUAGGAUGAUUGAUUUGGUAUAUUUUGAGCAAGUUUGGAAUAAGUUUUGGUUUUUUGAAUUCUUGUGGAAAUGGUGUGUAUUGAUGUGUAAGUUUUGGCUUGAUUUUAGCUUGAUUAAUGGAUUAAUUUGGAAGCACAUAGCCUGAGACACAGGCUGUCAUGCGGUCGUGUGGCACACACAGGUAUCCCUUACGGCCAUGUGUGCUUUGUUAGUUUUGGUGCAAGAUUCACACGGGCUUAGACACAGCCGUGUGUCUCAAGUCAGAGAGUUAUAUGGUCUAUGACACGGGCUGGGUCACGGCCGUAUGCCCCUACUUCGAAUGCUCACACGGUUUGAGCUGUGUCACACGGCCGUGUGACCACUGUUUUUUAAAUUUUCAAGUUUUUCCUAAAAUUUAUGUUUUGAUUCAUUUUGAUCCCUGAUUGCUUUUAAGUUAUUUUUAGGGCCCCGAAAGCCUGAUUUAAGGCCUAAAUAAGUAUGUAUGCUAAGAUUGGAAUGAAUUAUUGGUAAUUAUACUUAAGUUGAAUUAUUUGUUCAGAUUUAAAGUUAAAGGUUUCGUAUUGUACAAUAACGCUCUAUAACCCUAAUUUUUCGACGAAGAUGGGUUUAAGGGUGUUACACACACACACAUAUGCACAAUUGAUUCCAUGGCAUUAUACUAUAUCAUUUCGAUAUCUUUUAUUAAGCCGCAAACUCAAACCAAUUUCACAUAACUCAUUUUAUUACCAUAUUAUAUUGUCAAUCUAUUUCAUUACAUUUUGAAGUUUCUAAUUUCAAUUAUAAUAUCAUGAUCGAUGAAACCAUUCAUAAGUCCACAUCAUAUCCUGAAAUUAUUUUCAAUUACAUAUCAUACCCUAAAUUCGAUAGUAUUUGCAUACUCGUACCCUGUACACUUUUCUUAUCGUAUGACAAUGAUUUCAUUACAAUUCAAUCCAAUAUAUAUGUUCACAUUCAAUUUCAGAAUCACAAUUCAAUUCAUCAUCAACACAUAAAAUAUCAUGAUAAACAUGUCUUAUGAAUCAUCUUAAAUAUGAACAAAUAACUAGUUAGAAAUAUAUCAUAUUAACAUGUCAUUUCCCAAACUGGAUCGUUGAAUUCGUCACAAUUUCAUACCAAUCUUUCGGACUUAUAAAUCCAGUUUACAAAUUCCUUUCACAUUAACAAUUAUUUUCAUUAUAAUUAUAAAUUUUUACAUAUUAAAUCCUUAUUAACUUGACUCGGACACGAACGGAUACACAAAUCCAACCAACAUCGCAAUUUGGCACUCGGUGCCUCAUCGAAUAAUUUUCAAAGAAAAUAGAUUGUACCCAUCACUCAUCAGUAUGACCAAAGCGAAAAUUGUGCCCAACACUCAUCGACACAUAGUCAAAGUAACCAUUUGGCACUAGAACAUCCGAAGUAAUUAUUUUGUGUCCAACGCUCAUCGGUAUAACGAAAUAAAGGUUGUGCCUAGCACUCAUCAGAACGUUCGAAGUAAAAUGUGUCCCAUGCUCAUUGACAUAUAGUCGAAAUAACUCCACCCGAGCAGUUAAUAGGGUAAAAAUUUAUCCAAUUCCCUUAUAAGUUCAAUUCUCAUUCUAUCGAUAUCAAUAUCAUUAAUUUAUCACUCAUGAUAUCAUUUCAUACAUAACAUAGCAUACCAUCUCAAUUCCAAUCCAAUUUCACCAUUUCAUUUAGUUUUAAUAUUUUCACUUUUAUUCAAUUUAAUCCUUAAUCUCAAUUAUCAAUUAAAUUCACACCAAUGUAAUUUGAUCAAUCAUAAUAAACUCAAAUAAUCAUUUUCAAUUUACCUCAAUAUCAUACAUUGCAAAACAAAAUAAAUAGGUAACAAAUAUAAUGAUUCAAUUUAUAGAAAUACAAACAUAACAUGAAUUAACAUAAUAAGUUCCAUAUGAACUUACCUGGCAAAACAACAACCAAAUGAGCUUUUAAGGGCUAUUCGACAAUUUUUGCUUUUCCGCGAUUAGCCUUGAUUUGGUUCAAUUCUUGAUCUAUAAAAUAAUUCAGUUCAAUUUAUCAAUUCCAGACAUCUCAUAUCAUUCUAUUAUAAGCAUGUAUAAGUUCAAUUUCAUUUUUAAAUGUCCCUUAAAGUUUUUAAUUUUAUUCAAUUUAGUCGCUAAAACCGAAAUAGUCAUGUCUUUCAAAUUUGAGCUUCCUUUUACAAUCUGAUUUCAAUCUCAUCCUCUAUAACCUCUCUACUAUCUAUUUUUAUCAAAAUCUCAUAACAUCUUUACAAAUAAGUCACUUUAAUCCUUAUGUUACAAAACUAACAUUUAAACUUUAUAUAAGCUUAAAAUCUAUCAAUUUAAUACAAAAAAAAACUUUAAGAAAUCAACCUCUUAACACACGCACUUCACCCAGAAGACUGAUAUACCCUGUCACUUAGAAAUUUUCCAAGUUCUGGGAAUAUAGUUCUGCAUUCAUUGACCUCGCCCUCUGAGUGUUCUCUUUCAUGACAUUCCUGAUGUAAUACCCCGAAAAUUACUACAGUAAGAAAGUAAGAUAGUAUCCUUGAUAUAGUAAAAUAAAGAAAUAAAGUGACAGAAAGGAAAAUUUUGAUUUAUGUCAACAUUGGGAAGUAUAUUAGGACAUAUUAAGGCAAGAAAGGACUAAUUCGCAAAAGUGAGAAAAGUUUUGUUGCCCAAGAGUAAAUACUUAAAAUUUGAGGGGUUAAAGUGUAAAUAUGAAAAAGUUAAAAGAUCAAUAGUGCAAAUAUUUUAAGAUUGGAAUGAUCUAGAAACUAAGGAAAAUGGAUGAAUUAGGACCAAAUUGAAUAAGUGAAGAAUUAUGAGGGACUAAAUCGUAAUUUUACCAAAUUGAGUAAUGACUCAAGGAUGGAAUUUUAAAAGAUCAUGAAGGCUAAAAUGGUCAAUUAGAAGGAGAGAGAAAUCUAGAAGACAAUGAUGAUGUUGGUGAUAUUUUAGAUAAUUAAAUAAAUAAAUAUUAGUUUAUAAUAUCUUGAUUUGAUUUUUUUAAUGAUAUUUUAUUAUUUUAUUAUUUUAUUUAGCAUAAAUAUAUGUGGAAAGAAAGAUGAAAAACCACCAUCCCACCAUUUUUCCCAUGCACCAACGUGAGAAGAAGAGAGAAAGAAAGAAAGUUUUGCUUUCUUUACAAUUUGGUCUUUCCACCAAAAACUUACCAUUUUCACCUAGAAAUCAGAAGAAUUUCCAUAGCUACCAAGAGAGAAAAAUGUUAAGAAGACUAUAGGGAGUUAUAAUAUCAAGUUGAAUUCAAGAAAUAGAAGCUGGAGGAGUGAGAAAAAUCAAGUUAAAGAUUGAAAUCAAUAUGACAAGGUAAGAACAUCAAGAUUUUAAUAUAUUUUUAAGUUUGAUAUUAUUGAAAAUGUAUGGAAAUGAUGUUAAUGUAAAGUUUUCGUAUAUAUGGUCCUAUGUUCUUGAUAUGUUAGUGAAGAGAAAAUAAGUAAAAGUGAUGAGAAAUAGUGUAGAGAAAGGGAAAAAAAGGGUGUUAUAAACAUGGUAAUUAAUAUCUUGCACUAAAAUAGUUUUGGACAGUAGCAGUAGUCUAACUUUGAAAAAUCACCAAAAAUUGCAAAAAUCGAAUUAUAGGAUGAAUAAAAUAUGAAAUUAAAUUUUAUUGAGUCUAGUUUUUCAUAGAAGAAGCAAUGUAAGCAAUGGAAUUAUAAAUCAUGAGAUAUAAUAAAUUUUGUGAGACAAGGUCAGAAUGAUUUCGGGUUCCCCUAUUUUGAUUUUAGAAAAUCAUAAAAAAUUGGAGAAAAAUAAUUAGGGGCUUAAAUUCAUAUGUUUCAAAUCUUUAAUGAGUCUAUUUUUAAGAGAAACAAAUAGGAACAUCAUUCGAAUCCCGUACGAGGAGAUAAUUAAUUUUUAGUGAAAAAGGGUCCGAAUUGUCAAACAAUAGAACAGAGGGGACUUUAAAGAAUAAACUGUACUUAUUGGCAAAACCAAAACUUAUGAAAAUUUUAUGUAAAGAUAUAUGUGAGUCUAGUUUCAGAAAAAAAUUUCAGAUCCUAAUUUGGAGUUCUGUAGCUCAAGAUAAAAAUAAUUUAGUGACUAUGACACGGAUGGACAGCUUUGAAUAAAUUUAUAAGUAAAUAGUGAAAUAAUAGAUAAUGUUACUUAUAAGCAUGUUAUAUAAAUUAAGGAUGUGGAAUGGAGAGGAGGAGGAUGAGGAGGAGGAAAAUAUAUAUAUGAAUAUUCAACUAACAUGGCUAAUUUGCAUGAUUUAGGCUUAGGGACUAAAUUGAAUAAAAGAAAAACUUUAUGGGCAAUUUUGUAAAAAUUUCAAAAAUGACCAAAUUAUAUGAAACAAAUUGUUUUAUUAUUUAAAUUACAAAAUUAAAUGAAAUUAUUAAUUUAGAUCAAGAUCGGGUGAAAACAUGUUUUAGGGAUUAAAUUGAAAAGUGUUGAAAUUAUGGAAAAUUCUGAUAUUUCAUAGAAUUCAUGGGUUGCUAUCAAUAUGUAUGAGAAUAAUUAGGCUUGAAACAAGGAUUAAAUUACAAGAAUUUUAUUUUUCUGAGCCUAAGGAUAAAAUCGUCAUUAAUUAAAAGCUUAAGGGUAAAAUGGUAAUUUUUCCUAGAGCAUUAAUUGAAUGUAUCAGAAUAUGAAAUGAAUGAAAAUGAUGAUCAAAAUUAUUAAUAAAGAUCUGAAUGACUCAAAUAUGAGACUUGAACAUGGAAAAGAAAAUAUAUCAGAUUAGCGAAAUUAUAAACACGAACAAGCAACGAGGUAAGUCCGUGUAACCUGAAUUAUAUUCUUAAAUGCUUGAAAUGUAUGUUAUUGAUGUGAAUAUGAUUUAAAUGUUCAUUGUAUGAAAAUUUAUGAAACUUUGAAAUAUUCGAUAAAAAAGGGAAGAAAUCCCGGUUGAAUGGAAGGAAAAUUCGAUGGAUCUCUGAAAAGGAAUUGACGAUAAAAAGGAUCUAGCCCGGAUGGGUGAUCCUAUCUUGAUAUAGCCCUCUCGAAGAAUAUGUGUAAAAUGGAUUUAGCCCGGAUGGGUAAUCCGAAUUAGGGUCUGAAUUUAGCCUGGACUGGUAAUUCAGAUCCAAGCUCAUUAGAGUAAUUGUUGUUGCAGGGGAUUUAGCCUGGACUGGUAAUCCCGACAAUACUCUAUGAGUUUAUAUUACAGGGGAUUUAGCCUGGAUUGGUAAUCCCGCUGUAAGGAUGAGGCUCGCGGGAGUGUACUCUCUAAAAUGGAAAUGUGCGCAUAUGAAUAUAAAUUGACGGACCUGGUAUUGUACACUAAAAGUGUACCUUUGAAAGUCCAUCGAAAUUCUGAGAAAUUCAUCGGGAUAAUAUGGGAAAUAAUAGGGUAAUUAAGUGAAAAUUUAAAUCGAACGAAAUGAAUAAGUUGAGCCAUUGAAAGGAAACGUGAUUGUGGAAUAUAUUUGAAAAUGUGAAUUGAAUAUGAAAAUGUGAAUAGAAAGCAUGAACUAAGUGUUCAUAAGAUAAAUAAAGGCUCAAUGUAAGAGUAAAUGAUGUUAACAAAUGAAAACAAAAUUGAAUUGUAAAUAUUGAGCAAUGAAUUAUUAUAGGAAAUAUAUUAUCAAAUUUAAUACUGAUUUUGGAUUAAAUGCGGGAUUAAGUACAAUCGUUCUGUGGUAAAUGAUGAAUUGACGGAUAAGACCAUAACUGGGUUAUGGCAUUAUGAACAUAAGACGAUGGUUGGACCAUGACACUGUUUAUAUGUUCAAGACCAUAGUUGGACUAUGGCACAAAAGAACAAUGUACUCAUAUCUGUAAGUCGUUCUUCGAUUCAGAAAGAAACGGUAAAAGACUUAUGUGAUUGAAUUGAAAGAUUUAUAGAUUAUUAUUGGUAUUGAUCUGAAAUAAAUGUAUCCAUUGAUAUUUAAAUGAUAUAACGAGCAAAGUUCUGAUGUGAGAUAACAUUAGUUUGAAGUGAACUAUUACUGGUAUGUACGAGAAAUUCAUGAAAAUGAUGGUACAUGAAAUAUCGAAAUAAAGAAAUGAAUGAUAUAUGCCUAUGAAGAAACUGCAAGAGAAUGAUAUGUAUCAUUACAUGUAAAUAUAUGAUUAUCUUUAAUAUGUUGAUACAAGGAAAUUAUGUAUGAUGAGUUUAUAUGUAAUAUGUGCAAGUACGCUAACCAAUGUUGUUGCUUGAUGCUUAGGGAAGUGCCAAGCUAUUGGUUGAAUGGUAAUAUGUUUAAUUAUAAGAUGCAUUGAAAUGGUAAGUGCUCAAAUGAAAAUGUGCUUGUGUUCAUGAAAUGGUGGUAAGUUUAAAGUUAUGUAAUUUCUUAUGAAAAGGCUUAUUAUAUGAUUAAUUCUAAAAAUGCUAUGUUUAAAUGCAUUAGCUUGUGCCUAUGGUUGAAUGAUAUGUUUAUGGCUGGUGUGUUAUACAUAUGGAAUGAGUGUAGAAAGUAAAGAAAUGCAAAUGAAAAUAAUGAAAUUCGGAAGAGUAUAAAGUUGUUUAAAAUCCUAUUAUGCUAGGGAUAAUAUGUACAAGUGAUGAUGUGGAUUUAUUCACCUUGUGAGUUGUUGAAUAUAGCUUCAUGAGUAUUGUGGUAUUAAUAGUGGAUUAUUCUUGAUAUGUAUAGAUUUCAUAUUUGAAAUAAAAUAAUAUGAUUAAAGUCUAUACGAGCUUACUAAGCAUUUAUUGCUUAUGUAUUAGCUUUCUUCUACUUUUCAGAUUAUCGGAAGCUCGAUUAGGUUGGAAGCUUGUCGGAGACAUAUCACACUAUCCAUUGGUUCUAUUGGUAUGUUCCAAUGUUUGGAUUUUGGUUAUAAUGGCAUGAAUAGGUAUUUUGUUUAAUGAUGGUCUAUUUUUAUUCACAUGGGCAGAGACAUGGGCCUGUAUCCCCUACUUUUAAGAAAAUUUUUAAAAAGUUGGGAAAUGUUCGUAUUUAAUUCGUAAAGUUUAGUAAUGCUCCGUAACCUUGUUUUAGUAACGGAUAGGGGUUAGGAGUGUUACACCUGACACAUUCGACAUGCACGUGUCUUGCCUCCAACUGUUUUGCUUGUCUCAACCCCAUUUUUGGCAUCAAGGUUGCCAGUCUGUAAAACGUGACUAAGAAAAUUGAUGAAAUUGGCAAGUGACGUGUAUGCCUCAAGAUGGAAUUAAUGGCCUCAAAGAGGUUGGUCGUCAUAUGACCAUAUCGAUUCCCAUCAUCAAAACAUUUAGCCCAUUUCCACGGCUCCAUUCUACCAAACUAUUACCUGAGAGAAAGAUCGAACCCUUCCAUAUUAGUCUCUAACCUUGCCAGCUUAUGUCUGAAUUGAUGUGGUUCCAACUCGUACCCUAUAUAUGUAUUUUGAUAAAACACAUUACCACCCCUUUUAGUAAAUGGAUUUGAAUUAUUUAUAUAUAAAAAUUUAAAUACGAUAAUUUUACCCGUGUUCAUGAUUUGUUUGCGCUAGUCUUUGCUCUUAUACUCCUUGUGGAAGUUGACAACAUUGUGGCGAAUACAGUAGAUGGACCUCCAUGUAACAUCGUAUUGCCGAAUUACAGCAACAAGGUCCUUUGAUCUGUCGAAGACAAUGCAAAUGUUGUUUAUCCUGACAACAUGCCUCCACAAGUUUCUAAUGAAAAGUUCCCAUGAUUUGGAGUUCUUCGACUCCACGAGGGAGAAAACAAUAGGUAGUACAUUUUGGUUACUACCUUGCAUAACUGCAAUCAGAAGUAUCUGCGUGUAUUUUCCAUAAAGCCACGUUCCAUCAACCUGCACAAAUGGUUUGCAGUAGGAGAAGGCCCUAACAUAUGGAUCGAAAGUCUAGAACAAUCGGCGAAAAACUCUUCUCCCUGGUUCAAGUAGUUCAUUCGGGCCACUGUAAGGCAACGUUUGCAAGUCCACAACAGUUCUUAGGACGUACUACACCAUCAUUGAAAUCCACCCCUGAAGUUUAUUUAUGACUCAUCCCAAUCGCCGUACAAUUGCUACAUGGCCGUUUAUUUCGCCCACCAUGCUUUCUUGUACUACACUUUGUACUACAAUCAAUGUCGACACAAGAAUAGUUAUGCUUUCUUUCACUAGUGACAUGAUGCAGAUACUUUUUGCAUCGAAUUUCCAAUGGUCUUGAGUAAAUUAAUUAUAAAUUUAUAAUAAAUUAGUUUAGGGUUUAGGGUUUAGGGUUUUUAAGUAAAAACUCAAAUAAAUUAGGGUUUGGGGUUUACGGUUACUUAAUUAAAUUAUUUGUUAAUUUAAAGAAGCUCCGACAUGAACGCGCUUUUGCUACAGUGGCUCCUGAGAAAAUAAUUUCGAGUAGACGUUUCUGAGCAAACAGUGUCAAAAAUGCUUUAAGCAGGAUGCUUUGUCAGUAGAAGUACUGAAAAAAGCUCCCACGUGGACGCUCUUUUGUUACAGUAGCUCCUAAAAAAUAAUUUUGAGUAGACGUUUCUGAGCAAACAAUGUCAAAAACGCUUUAAGCAGGAUGCUUUGUCAGCAGAAGUACUGAAAAAAUCUUCCACUUGGACAUGCUUUUGCUACAGUAGUUGAACGUUAUUGUAAAAAACUUUGUAUUAUUUAUAUUUUGUUAAAUCGAAAAUUGCCUUAUUUAAAGCGUUAUUGUAAAGAAUUUCGAUUAUAUUAAAAAUAUUAAAGUAAAUUACAAUUACUUUAUUCAAAAUAUUUCCUUAUUUAAAAGAAUUUCUAUUAUAUUAAAAAUGUAAUAGUAAAUUUCUAUUUUAGUACAUGAAAUAAUAUAGAAGAAUUUCUAUUUUAUUACAUCAAAUAAUAUCAAAUUAUUCAAAAUGUUUGUACAAAUAUAUUAAAAUAAAAAUCAAUCUCUGUGCCCGCCGGAUUUAGUGCCACAAGGAGGCCGUCGACGGUUACGCGCUGGAUUCUUCCUUUGUCCAGUCUCCGGCGGGGGUUGUGGUUGCUCCGGCGGGGAUUCUAGUUCCUCCGGUAUGGUAUCUGGUUGUCGGUGUUGGGACGAUGAGUCACCUUGAUAGAAUAGUGACUGUGGAGGUGUUUGCAUCACCAAUAGCGAAGCUGUUUGAAACCCAUACGGUGACGGCGAUUGGUAAAAAGAAGAGCUCCCCGACGGCCCCUCUUGCGAUCCCUCGUGCGAUGUUGGCCUAUACAUCGGCGGUCCACUAAAUGAAGAUGAACCAGGACAUGGACUCCAACCUGCCAUAGGACUCGAAAAAGGAAACAUAUAAGGGUUAGGAUACAUAAAGGAGCUAAGAUACGUACCUGGCAUCAUCUGAAAAGGCUGUGCCGUGGGUAUCAUCGGGUGAACUGAUGGGUCGGGUGACUGUGUCGGUGCUCUCGCUGGCUUGGUGAUUGAAUGGCCGCUGAUGAUAGGCCGGGUGAAUGUUUGAGCCUCGUUGAUGGGCCUGCGUCGUCGUCCCUUCAUCUUGGAUUUAAAGGGUCACGUCGUUCCAUUUGGACACGUAAUUGCCGCUGCCUCUCCUCUGCUGACAGUAAAUACGGCUUGCCAUGGAUCCUAAACCAUGGCAUGUAUUCCGACAUGUACGCUAACUCAGGAACGAUGAUCGGUUCCCGAGUAGGUAUAUAAUCAUACCGAUCUUCCCACAUUUGGAUGUAGUGUGACUAGAAUCUCGGCCAAUCCGUAUGCAAUUACCGUAGGUCGAUUUUGUGAUGAUCAUCCAACACCUCAGGUGCCACGGGGAUCGGUUGUCGGAAUCCAAAUUGCCGUAAUACUCUGUCUGACUGGUGCAUCUCCACGGUCACAUAGUUGACCAACGCGACUUUCACUUGCCAAGCGUUUGGAUUUUGGAGGUACUCAUCCGAAAUUACUGCCCGAAUUGUCGGAUCCUCGUAUGGUGUCCAUUCAAACUAUAUGAACAUGAUGGAAAUAUUAGUUAUAUACAUAAUACAUAAUACUAAAUACUAAAUACCAAUCGACUAGCUCAUGAUGAAAAUAUCAAUUUUAUUUAAUACUUACUUGUGCUUCCGACUUUUGGUCUAAUAGAAGCCGUAUAUCUUUAAGACAGCUAGGUAAUCCAGCAUAACUUGCAGGAUGGUUCCACCUAAUUAAAUAAAUUUUUAGAAUACUAUUAUAUUUUAAAUCUACGUAAUAAUUGUAAAAUCUAAUAUAAAAUUUACCUUAUUAUGAGUGGGAAUGUUUAUGGGUGGUCCACUCGAGGACGUAAAAAUAGAAAGUGAAACCAUGCCCAUGACUGUAGUAGUGACAGGCAACCUCCGAUUUUCGCUUUAUUCGGUCACGUCGCCCCGCACAUCUCCCGGUAUAGUGUUGCCAACACGGUCGACCCCCAACUCAAUUCACCGGCUACUCUAAAAUCAACAAGUUUCAGCAGCCAUCUUAGAUGUACGAGGUUCCGUGACAAUUCUGGCAUCAGAUAGCCUCCAAUUAUCUGAAGAAUGUAUGCCCAAGCAUAGCAGAUUCUUUCUAGUUCAGUUGAAUCAUCAUCCAGAUCCGAGAAUGUGUCUCGUAACCAGCCCAUCUCGAUCCGACCCCUGUUAAUAUUUUUCGAAAUAGCGCCCAAAAGCUCGUAGCAUACCGCUCCCCAAUCGCCAGAUUGAAUAGACCCGGUGACUGGGUACCCGUCCACCGGCAAUCCCAAUUGCAGAUUCACAUCUUCCAAAAUGAUAGUGCACUUUCCACAUGGAAGAUGGAAUGUGUACGUCUCGGGUCUUCACCUCUCAAGCAACGCACUGAUAAAUUUCGGGUCCAACUUGCAUCCCUGGCCUACAGUCGCCACGUGCUAAAAACCCGCUUCCCGGAGGUAAUUCUCUAAUAACGGUGAUGGAGGACCAUGCAUAUUACGGAUAUAGCAUAGCAAUAUCUGAUCUACAGACUUUUAUAACAAAUAAUAAAUUAAUAAUUAUUUAAAAUUGCAUAAAUAAAAAAAUUAAAUAAUAUUUAAAAAUUAAAAUUAACACUUACCAUUUUCAUUUGUUCGACAGAUAUGUGCUUGUCAUAAAGAUGAAUCAAUUCUCCGGCCAUAGUUAAAUUCGUACAAAUUUUUACGAUUUAAAAAAAUUCAAAAAAAUAAAAUUUAAAUUUUUUUUAAAAAUAAUUAAAAAAUUAAAGCUCUUUUAAAUAGGGAUUUGAGAGAAAUUUGAAAGGAAAUUGAGAGCAAAUUGAGAUUAAAUAGGGAUUUGAGAGAAAUUUGAAAGCAAAUUGAGAGCAAAUUGAGAGGAAAUUAGAGAAGGAAUGAUUUAUUUGUGAAAAAAAAUGAAAGGGUGGAGGGGUUUUAUAGUUUUUUUUUUACCGUUGGGGGGUCACCAACGGUCAAAAACGUAGCCGUUGCUACUGUUCACGCGGCCAAAACGCGUCCCCAGUAGAGCGCUUACGUGGCAGGAAAACGCGUCCUUGAAGGCGCACUUUGUUGCCACGUAGGCAAAGCGCUUCCUUGAGGAAGCGUUUUCCUGCCACGUCCCCUGACAUCGCGCUAACGUGGACGCGCUUUCGGGGAAUUAGGCCAAUCCGAUAAUUAAUUUAUUAUCAGGCCCAUUUCGGUAAUUUUUUUAAAAUUGGGUUUUUUUUAGUGUUUUGCCCUAAAUGUUUCGUAUUAGUUUUAUAAUUUUAAAAUUAUCAAAGUUAUAUAAAAAUUUUAUUUUUAUAAUUUGUUUAUAAUUUUUAUGAUUUUUAAUAUUUUUAAAUUUUAAAAGCGUAAUUGAUUUUUUAAAAUUUGUUACUAAGGUCUUUUUGAUCCUUUAGUUUUAUUAGUUUAAAAAUUACUUCCAACAAAAGAGUAUGAGUCAAAUUGAAUAAAUGUGUAAAGGUUAAUUAUUGAAUUUGUUAUUAUGCCUUAUAUAUAAAUAUCAUAUUUUAAUAGAGAGGUGGCUUUGCUCACUCAUCUAGCAUAAAACGGCUAAUUUGCAAAUUUAUUCAGUAGAAAGGCUAAAAUUCAAUCCAAGAUAUAAUACAAGAGAUUUUGUGAUGAUUUUAUCAUAUUUAUAAUAAAAUUGAUAAAUACAGAUACAUAUUCAAAUAACUAUAAAAUAGAAUCAAAUUAGUCAACAUCCUCUAAAUCUAAUGACAAAAACAUUUAUGUCGUGACACAAGAGCUUAGGUUGAAUUACUAGCAACCCCAUCCUUACCCUCAAUUAUUAAAAAAAAAUAGAAUCAAAUUAUUUACAGAUGAAGAAUAAAAGUGGAUAUGUAGUGAAGGGUGAGUACUAGUUCAGCGUAAAAAUAUAUGGUACACUAUUUUUAAAAAAGGUAUAUGAUAAUUUUUUAAAACUGUUUGUAGUAAAAAAAAUACACCACACCGUACUUUUACUUUUUUUAAAAAAUUUAAAAUAGUUGGAUUUGGUUGCUUUUUAGAAUGCAAAAUUACCGAAAGGAAGUGUGGGAUACUUUGGAGGAUAAAUUUUUGAAAAGGAAGUUUGAGAUUCGAGUGCAACAAAAGGAACUCUUUUUGAACUAUGACCAUAAGAGGUAUUGGAAAAUCAUGGUUUCAAAUAAAAUUGGAGUGUCCGAAUAUCAGAUACUCUUAAGAGAGCUCUACAUUCUAUAUGAUGACAACAGAUUUGUUUCCCAUAAAAAAUAUAUCCCAUUUCUUCCAUCUUUCAAUUACAAAAUAAAUUAAACCUCAAAUUCAAUCUCUUGAUAAAAGCAUCAUUAAAGCUCUUAUGAUAGGAGUUAGAUUAUAUUUUACUUAAUGGAUCAAUUUGUUCUUUAUUCUAAUGUAUAACGGUUAAUUUACUUAUGUUUUGAGUAAAAGAGGCAAAAUGCAAUUCAACUCUUAAUACAAAUAUUUCUACGAUACUAUGGGGGAGUCCAUUUAGUGCUUACCGCGCAUGUUCCUAUGGCUUUUGCUAUGGAGGCUUUGGCAUGUUCUCAUGUCGUUCGCUUAGCUGCAGACCUCGGCCAGCAUAAGAUGACUUUUGAGGGGGAUUCACUUAGUGUUAUUCACAAGGCCUGCUGUCCUCUACACAACAUCUUAGCCAUCGAGGCUUACAUUUGGGAUGUGAAAGCGAUAGUUUCUUCCUUUCACCAUUGUUUGUUUGCUUAUAUUGCUCUCGAGGGUAAUACUCUAGCUCAUUUGCUGGCUACGAUGAGGCUGGUGGUUCUUUUUUUCUAAGCGGUGUCGUCCCUAGUUUUACUUCUCUCGCGGCGGAAUGGGAUCGACAGGAUAUCGAUUUGAACGAGAACGACGACUAAGGAGAUUUGUACAUAUCUUGUUCUUUAGAUGGGUCUUUGGCAAAGGAAUGUAAUAGGGUUCACUGUUUCGGUUGGCUUUCGGGGGAUCUGUUGAUCUAGGCAUCGUGGGGGUUGUCCGUGAUUAGUCGCUGUUGACGUUGGUCACCUCUUGUUCUUUACUCUAGCUAUUUGGCGAGCUUGGCGUUAUUUCACAUGGCUUUGGUUGCUAAGGGCCAUAGCUUGUUUUGUUGACAACUCCUUCUAGGAUUUGGAAUGCCUUUCUUUUAUUGGCUGGGAGCUGCUCAAACUGGGCUUUCUGUUUUAUUUUUGUUUGUUUUAGGUUUGGCCCGUCUGUUUUGCUUACUUUGUUUGGGUUUGUUGUUUCGACUUUAUUUGCUUUGUUUGUUGAUAAAAAGCCUAGUUUGAAUUAAAAAAAAAGUUAUUAAAGAAAAACGUGUAUAGUAUAAAAUGCGAUUAAAAAUAUUGAAUUGUUAAUGAAAAACACAUUUGAUGUAAAGUUUUUAUGACAUACUUUUAAUGCCGACUACAAAUGUGGAAGUCACACUAUGGGGGAGUCCGACCCAGAGGACCAACAUAUGGAAGAGCCCGACCCAAAGGACCAACCUUUGAACACACGCACUUCAUCUAGAAAUCCGAUAUACUCUGUCACUUAGAAAUUUUCCAAGUUCUAGGAAUAUAGUUCUGCAUUCAUUGACCUCGCCCUCUAAGUGUUCCCUUUCAUGACAUUCCUGACACCUUCGACAUGCACGUGUCUUACCUCUAACUAUUUUGCUUGUCUCAACCCCAUUUUUGGCAUCAAGGUUGCAAACCUGUAAAACAUAGCUAAAAAAAUUGAUGAAAUUCGCAAGUGACGUGUAUGCCUCAAGAUGGAAUUAACGACCUCAAAGAGGUUGGUCGUCAUAUGACCAUAUCGAUUCCCAUCAUCAAAACAUUUAGCCCAUUUCCACGGCUCUAUUCUACCCAACUAUUACCUGAAAGAAGGAUCGAACCCCUCCAUAUCAGUCUCUAACCUUACUAGCUUAUAUCUGAAUUGAUGUGGUUCCAACUCGUACCCUAUGUAUGUAUUUUGAUAAAACAAGUUACCAUCCCUUUUAGUAAAUGGAUUUGAAUUAGUUACAUAUACAAAUUUAAAUACAAUAUUUUUACCCGUGUUCACGAUUUGUUUACGCUAGUCUUUGUUCUUAUACUCCUUGUGGAAGUUGACAACGUUGUGGUGAAUGCACUAGAUGGACCUCCAUGGAACCUCGUAUUGCCAAAUUGCAGCAACAAGGCCCUUUGAUCUGUCGAAAACAAUGCAAAUGUUGUUUUUCCUGACAACAUGCCUCCACAAGUUCCUAAUGAAAAAUUCCCAUGAUUUGGAGUUCUUCGACUCCACGAUGGAGAAAAUAAUCGGUAGUACAUUUCGAUUACCGCCUUGUGCAACUGCAAUCAAAAGUAUCUACGUGUAUUUUCCAAAAAGCCACGUUCCAUCAACUUGCACAAGCGGUUUGAAGUAAGAGAAGGCCCUAACAUAUGGAUCGAAAGUCUAGAACAAUCAGCGAAAAAAUCUUCUCCCAAGUUCAAGUAGUUCAUUCGGGCCUCUGUAAGGCAACGUUUGCAAACCCACAACAGUUCUUAGGACGUACUACACCAUCAUUGAAAUCUGCCCCUAAAGUUUAUUGUAUGACUCAUCCCAAUCACCGUACAGUUGUUGUAUGACCAUUUCUAUUGCCCACCAUACUUUUCUGUACUACAUUUUGUACUGCAAUCAAUGUCGACACAAGAAUAGUUAUGUUUUCUUUCACUAGUGGCAUGAUACAGAUACUUUUGACAUCCAAUUUCCAGUGGACUUGAGUCAUACGUGUGACAGUGCAUGUAUGACUUCCUUCUCAUUUUUGUAUUUGCCACUGUUGAGUUAUCUGUAUAAAUGCAGCCCGAACUCACCAGCUACACCCAUCGCCAGCUCUCCAACAUUUCCCAACAUAUAAUGUCAAUGUAGACUUAGCGACCUUGUAAUUAAUCGACACCUUUAUGUUGUACUAUUUGAUGACAAACACAUAAUCUACCUUGUUCUUAAAUCAUUUCCCAACAAAUAAUUCUUUCAACUGCAAAUUUGAUGUCAAUUUGUGAGCAGUGACUAUAUCGGCAUACUCAAGGAACUCAGAUGCAUGCGUUGCAUUUGGAUCUACACUCAACAUGUCGUCCAAAGGUCAUUUCGUAAAACAAUGCCACGACUCAAGUUACUGAAAGAAGAGGCGUGAGCAUCUUCAACCUCUUUUAGGCCUUCAUCAUUGAUAUCGUUUGGAACCUCAUCAAUAUCGGUGUCACUAAAAUAUUCAACGUCCUGAUUAGAAUCUUCACCAUUAUUGGUCCUGUAAUGGCCCAAAUUCAAUUCUAUCGGAAUAGUGGUUUCGUAACCACAAAUCUGAUUUAAAGAGAAAUUUAUUUUAAUAUUUUUGCAUGAAUAUUGAUAUGAUAGGAAAAUCGUAUAAAAAUAUCGAUAGAAAAAUUUUACCGAUUUAGUGGUUAAUUAGAAAAAGAAAUUAUUGAAGAAAUUGGGUAAAAAUAAGGUACCAAGACCUCGAUCUCGUAAAAUCGAGUCAAAAACAUUUUUAUAAAUAUUUAUGAAGUGUUAGUAAUAUGGUAUUAAAAUUUCGUUAGAAAAUUUUAAUGUUUGGGUAGUCAAUUAAGUAAAAAGGACUAAAUUGAAAAAAGUGUAAAAGUUACUAGAGGGAUUAAAUAGCUCAAUUGUGAAAUGAGGAGGGACAUAAAUUGCAAAUAACCCCAAAAGAAGAUAUUUUGGGCGGCAUACGCUGAGAAAAAUUAGGAGAAUUGAAGAAAUAAGGGUAAAAUUGGAAUAUUAUAAAAUUUGCUUUAAAAGUUAGGACUAAAGUGGAAUUAUCUAGAUUUCUCUUUAUUUUUCUGCACUCUCAUCAGCCAAAAAACGUCCUAAGGGUUUCUUCAAGCUGGUUUUUCAUAAUUUUUGCACCAAGUGAGUUAAUUCCUGCCUUUUUCUUAUAAUUUUUGUGUUUCUAAGACUUUUACAACUAGGUCCUAUUACUAAAUUCAUUAGUUUUUGAUUUUAUGAAUGAAUUUGAAAGUUGAUAUGAAUAUGUUCUGGAAUUUUAUGAUGAAAUAGGAUGAAAUUGAAGCUUUAAUUUGUUUGUGAGAUGAUUUUAUUAGGUAAUUCCAAUAGAAAUUGAUUUGUAGGACCUAAUUGUGAAAAAGUUUGGAAUUAAAGUUUAGUGCUGAAAUUCUGAUUUCCAAAGGUUAUAAGGUAGUUUAAAGUGAUAUAAUAAAGUGUUUAUUGAGAAAAAUCAGCUCAAUUGAGAGGUUAAUUGAGCAGGGACGAAAUUAUCAUUGUUGAAAGUUUAAGGGAAAAAUGGUAAUUAACACCAUGCACUAAAACAGUUUUGGACAGCAGCAGUACUCUGACUUUGAAAAAUCACCAAAAAUUGUAGAGAUCGAAUUAGAGGGUGAAUAAAAUAUGAAAUUAAAGCUUAUUGAGUCUAGUUUCUUAUAAAAGAAACAGUGUAAGAAAUGGAAUUGUAAAUCAUCAGAUAUAAUAGAUUUUGUGAGACAAGGUCAGAAUGAAUUCGGGUUCCCCUGUUCUGACUUUGGAAAAUCAUUAAAAAUUGUAAAAAAAUUAUUAUGAGUUAUAAUUUAUAUGCUUAGAAUCCCUAAUGAGUCUAUUUUCUGAAGAAAUCCCUAAUGAGUCUAUUUUCUGAAGAAAUAAAGGAAAGCAUCAUCCUAAUUCUGUACAGUGAGAUAAUUAAUUUUUAGUGAAGAGGGGUCAGAACUGUCAUACAGUGAAACAGGGGAAACUUUAAGGAAUAAACUGUACUUAUUGGCUAAACCAAAAAUUCUUAAUUUUUUAUGGUAAGAAGAUAUUUGAGUCUAGUUUCAGGGAAAAUUAACGUAUCUUAAUUUGGAGUUCUGUAGCUCAAGAUAUAAAUAAUUUAGUGACUGUGACUCAGUGAGGCAGCUUUGAAUGCACUAUAAAUAAUAAUGGAAUUGUAGAGAAAGUUACAUAUGAACAUGAAAUGUAUUAGAUUAAUGAUUAAAUUUAUUUAUUUAGAUCCAGAAAAUUCAAAUACGAAGCAAGAUCGAGGAAAAGAAAAAGUUCGGGAUUAGUAGAUUUUUGUUUACGAACAAUUGUCAAGGUAAGUUCGUGUAACUUGAAUUAUAUUCAUAAAUGCUUGAAAUGUUUGUUAUUGAUGUGAAUAUGAUUUGAAUGUUCAUUGUAUGAAAAUUGAUGAAGUAUUGAUAUUCUUGAUGAAAAGAGAAAAUAAAUCCCGGUUGAAUGAAAGGAAAAUUCGAUGGAUCUCUGAAAAGGAAUUGACGGUAAAAAGGAUCUAGCCCGGACGGGUGAUCCUAUCCUGAUAUAGCCCUCCUGAAGAAUAUGUGGAAAAUGGAUUUAGCCCGGACGGGUAAUCCGAAUUAGGGUCUGAAUUUAGCCUGGACUGGUAAUUCAGAUCCAAGCUCAUUAGAGUAAUUGUCGUUGCAGGGGAUUUAGCCUGGACUGGUAAUCCCGCUGUAAGGAUGAGGUUCGCGGGAGUGUGCUCUCUAAAAUGGAAAUGUGCGCACAUGAAUAUGAAUUGACGGACCUGGAUUUGUACACUUAGGUGUAUCCCUGAAUAUCCAUCGAAAUUCCAAGUAGUUCAACGGGAUAAAUAUGGAAAAAUAACAAGGAAAUGGAAAUCCUGGAAUUGAUGAGCUCAUCAAUCAUUUAUCUUUGUAAUGAAUUUGUAUGAGGUUGAGUUUGUAUGUGAUAGGUGUAUGUUUAUGUGAAUUGGAUGUGUGCUUGUGUUAUUAAAUGAUGGAUGUAUAAGUAUGGUAAGUAUAAUUCCUGUUGCAUGAACUUACUAAGCACAAAGUGCUUACCCGGUUUCUUUUUCCCCUGUUUGUAGAGUUAAGAGCUCGGAAGUCGGAUUUGGUCAGAGACACAUCACACUAUCAAUCUCGAGAUCUCGGUACAUAAAGGAACUUUAUUUUGGAAAUCAAUGGCAUGUAUAAGCUAGUAAAUUAGAUGUUAAUGUGAAAUGAAUGUAUGGUUAGCCAUUGGUAUGGCUAACAAAUUUUGGUUUUAGUAUGUGAUGAAAUUAUCUUAUGAAUAUGAUAAAUCUAUCUUGAAAAAAAAAUUCGGUAAAAUCUGGUAAUGCCUCAUACUCUAUUUCGGCGACGAAUACGGGUAGGGGGUAUUACAGGUCCCUUUUCCGUCAUCAACCUCAAUACCUAUCACCUCCAGAUAUAAUUGUAGACAGGGACCAAGGGCAGGGUUGUUAUACAAACUCCCACCAUAAUUUUGAUUUUCAGGCAUCUACGAUGUCCCUUCGCAGUCUAACUGAUCUGCCCAUCCGAUAUUAAGAUCAAAGUCAAAUAUGCGAUGUUGACUUAUUGGACUAACAUUUUCAAUGGGCUAUAAGUCCGCUAACUCAGCAAAUAACUCAACCUGUUGGAGGUUGUAACGCCCCAAAAUUUCUAAUAAGUUAUUGUGAAAAUAUGACACAAAUAUAUGUCAGCUUUAGUAGUUAUGUUGAGUAUCUUGAUUUUAGGCCUUGAAGUGCUCGAGAGUGAUUAGGCAACAAAACGAUACCAAGUGUGUACUCGAAACACGAAAAUAAAGGAUUCGGUGAAAAGCCGGAAUUACUUGCUAUUUGGACAGCAACAGUACGCUAACUUUGAAAAAUCUCCAUAAAUUGUUGAAGUCAAAUUAGAGGAUGAAAAAAAAUAUGGAAUUAAAGCUUAUUGAGUUUAGUUUCUCAUAGAAGAAAUGGUGUAAGUAAUGGAAUUGUAAAUCGUGAGUUAUAAUAAACUUUGUGAGACAAGGUCUGAAUGAAUUCGGGUUCCCCUAUUCUGACUUUGGAAAAUUAUCAAAAAUUGGAGAAAAAUAAUUAGGGGUUAAAAUUUACAUGUUUAAAUUAUUAAUGAGUCUAGUUUCAAUAGAAAUAAAUGGAAACAUCAUCCAAAUUUUGUACUAAGAGAUAAUUAAUUUUUAGCAAAGAAGGAUCGAAGCUGUCAGACAGUAGAACAGUGGUAAGUUAGAAGAUUUUACUGUACUUUUUGGCUAAACCAAAAAUUCUGAAAAUUUUAUGGUAGAAAGUUAUUUGAGUCUAGUUUCAAAGACAUCAAGCAGUUUUUAAUUCAAAAUUCUGUAGCUCAAGAUAUAAAUAAUUUAGUAAUAGUGACUCAAGUAGACAGCUUUAAAGGAACAUAUAAGUAAAUAGUGAAAACAUAUAUGAAUAAUUAACUAGCACGGGUUACAUUAAAAAUGGAUCACGUGGCCAAGGCUAAUUUGGGUUAAAUGGGCCACAUGGGCAUGUGAGCCCAUUUUUCUGAAAAGUUCUUUACGGUUGCACGGGUUGCCUAAGUCGACUGUAGACCUACUGUAGGGUCGAUAAGCUUUACUUAGACUCCUAGAUGUGUGAUUUGUCUGUCUGAUUCCUAUAUCAAGUAUGACUUAUGAUACCUGAAUGUAUGUACUAUUAAUUGCAUAAUGGCAUGACAUAUUUUGUAUGUUGCAUUGCAUCGGGGUGGGUUGAUGUUACUUGGAGGGAGUGUCUGAAAUGUUAUUAAGCCUGUCAUCUCGCAGCUCAUCUGCAACCUUCUUAUUAUGUGCCACAUUUCGGGACAGCAUGGUGUGUAGGAAUGGGUGGGUUGAUUUAAUCCCUACAUGGUGUGUAGGGUUGGACGAAGAUGGUGUGUAGAGGCUAGUGGGUAGGAUUCUGAUUUAAUGGAUCUGCAUUAUGUAUUUGAUAUGGGCCAAGGCCCUAAUGUAUUUCUGAGUCUGUAUCUAAAUGGGCUAAAGCCCAAAUUGAUUCUGUGAUGGGCACAGGCCCCAGACUGUAUCUAACUGAAUUCUAUUGAAUAUCUGUAUACAUGUUUUCUGUGGGGAUUAUACACUGAGUUUAUAAAAACUCACCAUUUUUUGUUUAAUCUGUACAGGUAAUCCCCAAAUUUGACGGGUCAGUGCAGCGGAAGACUCGACGGUGGCCACAUGUAAAUUUUAGACUAUUUUCCGUUAAUGCCUAGAAUUUAUUACUUAUUUAGGGUUUUUGAUGUAAUUUGGACUAUGGACAGUUGGCUUUAAAUUUGGGAAUUUUUACUAUUUUUAUGGGUUUUUUUAAACUACAAUUCAACAAAACACGGUUUUUCUAAAAACUAUGGUUUUAGUAAAUACAAAUGAUUUUUCUUAAAUUAAUUGGUUACAAAAGCUUCUGCUAAGAGACAAGUUUUAAAGCAAAUCAACUAGUUUUUUUCCGAAUUAAAUAAUAGCUAACUUACUGUAAUGGUUUUUAAACUCAACAAUCUUGUCUUCAAAUCCCUUUCCAUGUGACAUCGCCAGAUUCGGCCAUAACGUCUAAGCUGGGUUUGGGGUGUUACAUUUAGUGGUAUCAGAGCCAGGUUGUAAAACUCGGCUGUGGAUUUGGAUUUUAAAACUUGGUUUUAAGGAGAUUAUUUUUAAAUAGUUUGAAAUAGUUUAGACUGAGUAUGUGGCACACCAAGUCUCCAGCGUCGAUUUUGUAAGUGUUCUAAAAACUCUGAUAAGUUUUUUGAAAAUAUGAUUAGCAUAUUCUAAAACUACUAUAGGUAGUACAUUGUACUGAAAACAUUGUAGAUAGUAUAUACUGAAAACAGUAGUGAAACUAAAAACUGUAGUAAGAUUGUAAUUUUUGAUAACAAACUCUAAACUUCUAAUACUGUUUCGCAUAAAAUAUCUACUAAUAAAUAUCGAAACUGUAACUAAUUUAUAAAACUAUUAACACAGAUAGGCUACAAAUUCUACGAUGAGUGCACGAGGCAUCCACGAAUGGGGUAUUAGAGGCCUAGGUAGAGGCCGUAGAGGGGCUCGAGCUGAGUCCUCGUUGUUAGGCAGCAUGGCGAAUCUGGAUACUAGUGUGAGCCGAUUUCACCUGCUACAGAUACUGGGUCUCCUGAUCGCAUAGCCAGGGACGACGCCAUGUCUCAGGUUAUGCUAGGGAUAUUAGAGUGGGUCACUGGACCUAACACUGGAUCUGAGAUCCGAGGGUCAGUUACAGAACGACUUCGGUCUAAUGGGGCUGAGCUAUUCAGGGGUAUCAUUAUAGUCGUCCCUAGCUUGACCGAGUACUAGAUCGAGGCCAGGGAAAGAAUCAUGGAUGAUCUAGACUUUACCCCUGAACAGAAAUUGAAAGGGGUUGUUUCUUUGCUUCGCGAUGAAGCAUACCAAUGGUGGCUAACCGUUAAGGAGGGCACUCAGCCCGAAUGACUGAUAUGGGAUUUUUAUAAGUCUACUUUCUGAGGUAAAUAUGUGGGGGCAAGCUACAUUGACACUAGAAGAUGUGAGUUUCUAAAUCUCACGCAAGGGGGUCGUUCAAUGGUUGAGUAUGAGGUCAAGUUUCUAAGAUUGAGUCGCUAUGCACGAGGAAUGGUGACGACUGAAUAUGAGCAUUGUGUCCGCUUCGAGGAUGGACUCAGGGACAUGUUGAGUGUUUUGUUAGCUCCGCAGAGGGAGCGUGAGUACUAGUAGAGAAGGCAAAGAUCGCCGAGGAGGUGAAGUGCGCUGAGCGCCAAAACCAGGAUAAGGAGAGAGGCAAGAAUAGAAGGGAUUCAGAGCCCUCGAGUUCUGCGAUGAGACCUAAGAAAAAGGUCAGAUCUGGAGGGCCAGUUACAGUUGGGGCCCCUAUUGCAUCUACUGGGAUCACGCUUUGUGGGCAUUGUGGAAGACACUAUCCGGGCGAAUGUUGGAGGACGAUUGGGGCUUGUUUAAGAUGUUAGUCUACUAAACACCGUGUCCGAGAGUGUCUGUUGAGGGCUUAUCAGGUGCAAGCUGUGAGUUCUAGUACUACACCAUUGAGGGUAGUUCAACAACCGCCUAGGGUCGUGGUCAAGCUAGGGGUGGUAAUGGUAUUGGUCGUGGGCAGAGAGCAUCGAGCAGAGGUGCUGGCCAGGCUGAGGUGAGAUAACUGUCCCUAGUUUAUGCUGCUCGCCGUCGAGAGGAUAGAGAUGCUCCAGACGUCAUCACAGGUAUGUUUCUUAUUUUUUAUGUGACUUACACUACAUUGAUAGAUAUAGGAUCUACGUAUUCCUAUGUUGCCUGUUCUGUUUCCAAAAACCUAGGGAUUCCGGUUGAGAGUACUUCUAGUGAGGUGAGGGUAAUCUGUUAGAGUUAGAAAACUGUACAAGGAUGUUCCUUUAAAGGUUCAAGGGACGGUAUUUCUGGCUAAUUUGAUGGAGCUUCCGUUUGGGGAGUUCGAUAUGAUUUUGGGGAUAGACUGGUUGGUCAAACAUCGUGUCAAUUUGGACUGUGCGACUAAAAGGGUCGUAUUGAGAACUGAUGAGGGUAAUGAAGUAGUUGUGAUUGGGGAACGUCGAAAUUACUUUGCUAAUGUGAUCUCUGCACUGGUAGCUGAAAAACUGGUUCGCAAGGGAUGUGAGGCGUAUUUGGCCUAAGUAAGCGUUUCUGUUUCUAGGGACUCUACUGUAAAGGAUAUCAAAACUAUGAGGGAUUUUCUGGAUGUCUUUUUUGAGGAGCUACCGGGUUUACCUCUGAAUCUGGAAGUGGAGUUUGGGAUUGAACUUUUCCCUGGUAUAGCUCCGGUGUCUAUCGCUCCCUAUCGAAUGGCACCAAAGGAGCUUACGGAGAUCAAGGCUCAAAUUCAGGAGUUAUUGGAUCGUGGGUUUAUCCGCCCUAGUGUGUUCCCGUGGGGAGCAUCGGUACUAUUUGUUAAGAAAAAGAAUGGAUCCAUGAGGAUGUAUAUCGACUACCGAUAACUAAAUAAGUUGACUAUUAAGAACAAGUAUCCACUUCCGAGGAUUGAUGAUUUGUUUGACCAGUUCUGAGAGGCGCUUGUGUUCUCUAAAAUUAACUUGCAUUCUGGGUAUCAUCAGUUGAGGGUUAAGGAGGCUGAUGUGCAUAAGAUGGCAUUUAAGACUCGUUAUGGUCACUAUGAGUUCCUAGUGGUGCCAUUUGGACUGACUAAUGACCGGUAACUUUAAUAGAUCUGAUGAAUCGAGUGUUUCUGCCCUACCUGGAUCGAUUUGUAGUGGUGUUCAUCGAUGACAUAUUGGUUUAUUCGAGGACUGAGGAUGAGCAUGAUGAGCACCUUAGGAUUGCUAUUCAGAUUUUGAGGGAAAAAUAGCUCUAUGCUAAGUUCAGCAAGUGCGAGUUCUGGUUACGUGAAGUAACAUUUCUGGGUUAUGUGGUGUCUGCUGAAGGGAUUCGAGUUGAUCCUCGAAAAAUUAAGGUUGUAUUGGAUUGGAAACAACCUAAGAAUGUGUUUGAGAUUUGCAGCUUUUUGGAGCUAGCAGGUUAUUAUCGACGUUUUGUGGAAGGGUUCUCCUUGAUCGCAGCAUCAUUGACUAAGCUUCUGCGUAAGGGAGUUCCAUUUGUCUAGACUGAUAUGCAAAAAGAGAGCUUCGAGAAGUUCAAGGCUGUUCUGACUCAGGCUCCUGUUCUGAUACAGCCUGAGCCCGGUAAGGACUUUGUGGUUUACAGUGAUGCUUCACAUGUCAGAUUGGGGUGUGGAUUGAUGCAGGAUGGCAAGGUGAUAGUAUAUGCAUUUCGUCAGCUCAAAACUUAUGAAGCGAGCUAUUCGAUGCACGAUUUGGAGUUGGCCGCCAUUGUCUUUGCAUUGAAAAUCUGGAGGCAUUAUCUGUACGGUGAGAAGUGUAUUAUCUACACUGAUCAUAAAAGCCUCAAGUAUCUCCUCACUCAGAAGGAUUUAAAUCUUAGGCAGCGUAGAUGGGUUGAGCUACUUAAGGAUUAUGAUUGUACCAUUGAGUAUCAUCCCGUCUAGGCCAAUAUGGUGGCUGAUGCGUUGAGCCGUAGAGCUAUGACCGAUCUGAGAGCGAUGUUCACUCGACUUAGCCUAUUCAAUGAUGGAAGUCUGUUGGCAGAACUUUAGGUCAAACCGACAUGGAUUGAACAUAUUCGAGGUAAACAGUUGGGGGAUAAGUCUCUUAGGUUACGUUUUCAUCAGGUUGAGAAUGGUGGCACUACUAAUUUUGGGAUAAACAGUGAUGGGGUACAUUAUUUCCUCGAUCGAAUUCGUGUACGAAAUUAUGAGUAUUUAAGGCAGUCGAUUCUGAGAAAAGCGCAUGGUAGUCCCAAUACUAUGUAUCCCGACAGAAACAAGAUGUACCGAGAUCUUCAAGAAUUGUACUGGUGGCCAAGGUUGAAGCAUGAGGUUACUGACUUCGUUGCUCGUUGUUUGACUUGUCAGCAGGUUAAGGCUAAGCAUCAAUUACUUUCGGGUUUGCUGCAGUUGGUUAAGAUACCAUUAUUGAAAUGGGAGCGAGUAACGAUAGACUUCGUUAGUGGGUUGCCUCUAACACCCACAAAGAAGGAUUUUGUCUGGGCCAUCGUGGAUCGAUUGACCAAGCCUGCUCACUUCAUCCUAGUAAGGAUAGACUUUUCUCUUCAGAAAUUAGCUAAACUCUACAUAUCAAAAAUAGUGAGGCUGCAUGGGGUACCUAUCUCGAUCAUUUCCGAUAGGGAUUCUCAUUUCACGUCUCGGUUCUAGAAGAAGCUUCAUGAGGCUCUGGGUUUAAGAUUAGACUUCAGUACUGCUUUCCAUCCUCAGACAGAUAGUCAAUCGGAGUGGGUGAUUCAGAUACGGGAAGACAUGUUGAGGAGCUGUGUUAUUGAUUUUCGAGGCAGUUGGGAAGAGUACUUAUCGUUAGCGGAGUUUGCCUACAAUAAUAGCUUCCAGUCUGACAUCCAGAUGGCACCUUACUAGGCACUGUACGAUCGUAAGUAUCGCACUCCUUUAUGUUGGACUGAGUUGGGUGAGCGACAUGUUUUGGGUCCUAAAUUGGUGUCCGAGACUAAAGAUAAGGUUAGACUGAUUCGAGAUCAUCUAAUAGCGGCUUCUGACAAGCAGAAGUCCUAUGCAGAUCAGAAGAGUAAGAAUAUCGAGUUUACAGUGAGGGACUUAGUUUUUCUCAAGGUCUCGCCAUGAAAAAAGGUUCUAAGGUUCGGUCGCAAGGACAAGCUGAUCCCCCGGUUUAUUGGACCUUACCACAAUCUGAAAUGUGUGGGACCUGUCACUUAUCAGUUGGAGUUACCUUCGGAGUUGGACAAUAUUUAUGAUGUUUUUCACGUCUCGAUAUUGAUGCGCUACUGCUCUGAUCCCACGCAUGUUGUUUCUGUUGAGGAGAUUGAGGUUAGGCCAGACUUGACCUUCGAAGAGGAGCCAGUUCAGAUUCUGGAGCGUGAUGUAAAGGUCCUUUGGAAAAAGUCUCUUCCCUUAGUGAAAGUUCUGUAGCAUAAUCAUAGCACUGAGGAGACUACGUGAGAGCCUGAGGAUGCGAUACGUCAGCAAUAUCCUCAUAUGUUCUUAUCAGGUAAAAUUUAGAGGACGGAAUUUUCUUUUAGGGGGUAGAGUUGUAACGCCCCAAAAUUUUUAAUUUCAUUAUUGUGAAAAUAUGAGAAAAAAAUCUGUCAGCUUUAGUGGUUAUAUGUUCUAGGAGUGUUUGGAUGGUCCCAAGUUCAAGCCUUCGCUUGGGCAAAUUUUGGUAUUUUGAAUGAAUUAGGCCUUACUCUUGUUCAGUAGGUUUUUAUUUGAUUGUUGGGUAAAUUACAUCAGAAUGGGCUUGCUGGUUUGGUGGUUAAAUGGUGUGUUAUUAUGGUAGAGGUCUUGUGUUCGAAUCCCUAUGCAGGCAAGGGUAUUAUUUUUGCUCAGAUUUUGGGAUAGAGUUGUAUAAUAGGGGGAUUCUGAGUAGUGGAUAUGUAGUGGGAAUUAGGGGAGAAGAUUAAGGGAUUUUGAGGGUUAUCGAGAUUUUAUUUUAUUUUAUUUCCCCAUAACCGAAUUUUGACUCUCUUUUUCAAAAAAAAUUAUGCCGUCUAUUCUUCUCCCUCUCCUCUUGCCUAAAUUCUCUAAGUUUUUCCAUCUUUCUCUUCUUUUUCUUCUUCUUGAUUUUUCCCUAAUCCAUUUAUUUUCUUUCGUUUUCGUACGUGGUUAGUGCUCGCUUAGUUUCAGUAAGUGUUUCUCUUUGUUUCUGUCAUGAAUCUUUUAAUGACUGAAGUGGUAAUGUUUUUCUCUACGAUUUGAGCGUAGGGGGAGGCUCGAAUUGGUGAAUUCAGUGUUCUCGUCUUAACAAUAGUUAAACGGAGUGUUAUCAUUGGUGGUAAGUUGGGUUUCUGUUCGUUCUUGGCUGUCAAUUCGCUUGUAAAUCCAUUAAAUUGAUGUUGAGUAUCUUGAUUUUAGGCCUUGAAGUGCUCAGGAGUGAUUAGGUAUCAAAAUGAUACCAGGUGUGUACCCGAAACGCAAAAAUAAGAGAUUCAACAAAAAACCAAAAUUGCUUGCUAUUUGGACAGUAACAGUAGGCUAACUUUGAAAAAUAUCCAUAAAUUGUGGAAAUCGAAUUAUAGGAUGGAAAAAAUAUGAAAUUAAAUCUUAUUGAGUCUAGUUUCUUGUAGAAGAAACGGUGUAAGUAAUGGAAUUGUAAAUCGUGAGUUAUAAUAAACUUUGUGAGACAAGGUCAGAAUGAAUUCGGGUUUCCUUGUUCUGACUUUGGAAAAUUAUCAAAAAUUGGAGAAAAAUAAUUAGGGGUUAAAAUUUACAUGUUUAAAUUAUUAAUGAGUCUAUUUUCAAUAAAAACAAAUGGAAACAUCAUUCAAAUUUUGUACUAAGAGAUAAUUAAUUUUUAGCAAAGAAGGGUCGAAGCUGUCAGACAGCAGAAUAGGGGUAAGUUCGAAGAUUUUACUGUACUUUUUGGCUGAACCAAAAAUUUUAAAAAUUUUAUGGCAGAAAGUUAUUUGAGUCUAUUUAAUUCAAAAUUCUGUAGCUCAAGAUAUAAAUAAUUUAGUAACAGUUAUUGAAGUAAACAGCUUUGAAGGAACAUAUAAGUAAAUAGUGAAAACAUAUAUGAAUAAUUAACUAGCAUGGGUUACAUUAAAAAUGGAUCACGUGGCCAAGGCCAAUCUGGGCCGAGUGGGCCACAUGGACAUGUGAGCCCAUUUUUUUGAGAAGUUCACAAAAAUGGUGGUGCCAAACUGUAUCGCUCCACCAAAAAAGGAUUAUUUUUCUAAAUACCCCAAUUUUUCAGAAAUAGUAAUAUUUCUCUAAUAUUUAUACAGGUGGCGUUAUUCUACAUGACUCCACCAAAAAAAUGAAUAUUUUUUAUUUAGUUUGCUGAUAUGGCAUGUUGUUGGUGCCAAACUCUCCAAACUUAUUUUGGGCCUAAUAUUAUUAUCUAAACAUGCCAAAUUUCUCGGUGAACAUUCAAGUUUGAAUGAAUAAUCCAAUCCUUAAACAAAUCUACUAUUCAUAACUUCUAAUCCUUAAACAAAUUUACAUUCAAACCCAAAAAAUCUAAAUUAUUACGAUAACUAAGGUUCCAACGAGUUUUGUCGAUAUCCUUAAUCCAGUUUAUAUAAUUAAAAAGAUAUAAUGAUUUUUUUGGCUCUCCAACUUUCUAAAAAAGUAAUUUUGACCCUCUAUUUAUAUUUUGUCUUUUAGUCCUUAAACUUGUAAUUUUUUAUCAAAUCACCCCAAAAUGGGUGGAAAAGUUAAUGUUUGGUACCUUUGCUAAUGUGACAUACACGUGGAUAACAUGCCAAUAUUUAAUUAUUUUUUUAAAAUUAAAAACAUAAAAAAUUACAUUUUUAUAUUUUUAACCAUUUAAUUUUAGAAAUAAUUUUUAAAAUUUUAAAAAAUUAAUUUAAUGCUGACAUGUCAUUCACGUGGCAAUCCACGUGUAUGCUACGUUAGCAAAGUUACAAAUGUUACUUUUUCAAUCUAUUUUGAGGUGACUUGAUAAAAAAAUACAAAUUUAGAGGUUAGAAUAAGGGCAUAGCUAGGGGCUGGCAGGGGCCUUAACCCUCUAAAAUGAAAAAUUUUCUACUUAGACUCUUUAAAAUCUUAAAAUUUAUAUUUAAAUUAAUAAAGGUAAAAUUAUCCUUUGGUCCGCUUAAAAAUGAUAAAAUUUUAAUUUAAUCCUUUAAAAAUUAUAAAGAUAUAAACUAUUAAAAUGAUAAAAUUAUAUUUUUAUUAUCGUAAAAAUUAUAAUUUAAUUUUGCCCCAAUAAAAAUUUUCUAGCUUCGUCUCAUAUUAGAAAGGGUGAAAAGUUAAAUAAAAGGAUAAAAAGGAUAAAAUGACUUUUUUUUUUUGGUAAUGUUAAAGGAUGAUUAUGUGAAUUAAAAAAAUAUUACACCGAUGUAAAAAUUUAAUUCUCAAAUAUUCUAAAUUUUAAUUACUAUCUUAUCUAUGAUGUUUCCUACAAAGUUCAAAAUUAUGGGGUAUGGGUCGAUUUAAUUACAAUCUUAUCUAUGAUGUUUCAUACAAAGUUCAAAAUUAUAGGGUAUGGGUCGAUUUCACGUCACAAAUCUUAAGCAAAAAGUUGGCAGCAGUCCCCAUAAUGUAUCCAAGAUUCAAGGGUGAUCCACACAAUAAUCAAAAGUGAAUCAGAGCCACCAAUUCCCAAUCAUAUGAAAUCAGGCCAGACCCUAAAUUCGAUUUCUACCAUUGAUUUAUACUGAAUCACCCGAUAUUACGGACCCUAUGUGUCUUAAACCAACAGAAGGUGGCAUUAUCUGCCGUCCUACCGCCCCUUAAAACCAUCCACCUGUCCCCCUGCCUGCCCCUUGCGUGGACAUCUAAGUAGCCUUACAAACAAAACACUAAAUCCUCUUAUCCUAUGUCUUAAGCCGAAAGGAUCGGACGCGUGAAUGUUCCCUUCUAAACAUGUGCCUCUAUCUCAUUCAGUAUCCUAUUUUUUAGUCCCUCACUCUAAAAACACGCGUUCACAACACCUAUUUAAUCUAACCGUCCAUUCUCACGUGAGUCCAGCAAUCGUAGGUGUUGCCUCCUGGAUCGCCCCUCCUCUCGCCAUGUAACGAAAAGGACACAUGUCGAGAAGCUAAUAAAUUACAAAAUUUCAACAUAAACCAUGAAAUAUUUUGUUCUAAGUUUCUAAAAACUCAAAAAUUAGAAGGAAAAGACUUAAAUUAACUUACCAAAUGAGCUUGGAACCUCAAAACCUAAAUUUUCCCUUUUUCUUUCUUUCUUUCCUUCUUUCCUUUUCUGUUUCGUUUGCCUAUUCUGUUUCUAUUUCUCUUUUUCUAUCUUUUAUUUCUUUUAUUUAAUUAGUUUAAUAUAAUAACAAUAAAAUAAUAAUAUAAUAUUAUUUACUUAAAUAAUAAGUAAAUAUUUAAUAAUUACUAAUAAAUGUAUUUCAUUUUUCCACAUGUCAUCAUAUGUAUCAUACAUUUGUCAACUUUUUUCUUUAUUUAAAAUAAAAUAAAAUAAUAUAAUAUAUAAAUAUCUUUUACUUAAUUAAUAAGUAUGUAUAUAUAUUAAUUACAAAUGUAUACAUAUAUUUAUUACACAUGUAUUUAUAAUUAUCACACACUUGUCACUUUUUAUGGUUUAAAUAUUAGUUUAGUCCUUUCAUCUUUCUCUAUUCUAUAAUUAACUUUCACACUUAAUUCAAUUUUAGUCCUAAUACUCAAUUAACUUUAAUUCAACUAAAUUCACUUAACUAAAAUUCGAUUGAUCAUGUAACUAACUCUAUAAAUAUUUUAAAUAAUUAUUUACGAGUCUAUUCUACUAAAAUAGAGACUAGAUAAUUCACUUUUCAAUGCCUACAUUUUUUAAGUCAUUAUAUGGAUGUCCCCUUCUCUUGCCACAUAGCGAAAAUGACACGUGUCGAGAAACUAACGGGUUUUUAGAAUUAAUCCUUUUAAAUUUCGUUUCUAUAAAUACUUCAUCUCACAACGCGUUCAACCCUCAGCACACAUUCAAAGCCGGAAACAUCCCCAACUGAAUAAAUUUACGCAAAACAAAAAGGAAAGAAAAGGGUGUAAGAUUCAUUUCCUUUUUUCUUCUCAUCUCUGACAGGUAAUCGGAAAAGGCAAACAGUUCGAAUAAAUAGAAAAUGGCGUUGAAUUUGGCGCAUCAGAUUGGUUCUCUAGCCGGGACACAAAUUGCAGCUGAAGUCACCACCGGAGAACAAUCAUCCUCAGCGACGGCUGAUGUGUCGGGAUUUCGGAAAGUUCCAUUGGCAAAUCUCCGAUGCAACGCCCCAGGAGAAGCUCUGUCCCCUCCAAUGUUAACUCCACCGUUGACGCCGCGAAGCGCGGCAAACAGGUCGGCUAUGAUGAGUCUGUCGCUGCGUCCGGAUCUGUCCGCCGUUUGCCAGGCUUUCGGGACGUUAUCACCGCUGGAGACGGCUGAGGAGUCAUCGGCGUCGGUGGCGUGGAAGGAGGGAGGGAAGAAAGAGGAGAAGAAAGGGGUUCCGGUUUACGUGAUGAUGCCGUUGGAUAGCGUGACGAACGGGAAUACGGUGAAUAGAAAGAAGGCGAUGAAUGCGAGUCUCCACGCGCUGAAAAGCGCGGGAGUGGAGGGGAUAAUGAUUGACGUUUGGUGGGGUCUGGUGGAGAGGGAAGCGCCGGGUGCUUACAAUUGGGGUGGCUACGCGGAGCUUCUCGAGAUGGCUAAGAAGCAUGGCCUUAAAGUCCAGGCUGUCAUGUCAUUCCAUCAGUGUGGGGGCAACGUCGGUGACUCUUGCACGUUCGUAUCUCCUCCUUACCUCUCUUUACUGUUUAACUUUUAAAAUUUAAACCCUUCUUUUUCUUCAAGAUCCCGUUACUCAGCUUAUGUAAAUUUUAUUUAAAAAAAUAGUAAUUUUAAAUUAAUUUUUGUGGGGAUGGGAUCCCUUUUUGAAAAUCAAGAAGAAAGAAAGUUUACACGUUUGAUUAAUUAUUGAUUACAAGUCAAUCAUUUGCUUAUUUUUGAAUUUGAAAGAGACGAUCAGAUGAACCAACGUUUUUAAAAAAAAAAUUUAGAUGAAGGGAUAACGUAAGCUUUCAUUGCAUCUUUUUACAAAAGUUGGGUAAAAAGGGGACCGAAAGAAAUUAAAUUUGAAGAUAGAUAUNNNNNNNNNNNNNNNNNNNNNNNNNNNNNNNNNNNNNNNNNNNNNNNNNNNNNNNNNNNNNNNNNNNNNNNNNNNNNNNNNNNNNNNNNNNNNNNNNNNNGAACCUAUUUUAGAAGUUCAUGAAUCAGAACAAUUUUUUUUGACGGAGGGUACGGUGGUAGCUUUCAUUUCUCUCCAUCUCUCCAGGCAGGGAAUAUGGGGUUUGUAUGGAAAUUUUCAUAAGCCCCCAUACGGUGGUCCAAAUCCUGUAUUUUUUAUCUAAAUCUUUAUUGAAUCAAAUACUGGGAUGUAUUGAUUUGAUGUUAUGGAGCUACUCUUUUAAAAAGAAAAAUAUGGUUGUUUUUGUACAGUAUUCCUUUGCCCAAGUGGGUUACAGGGGAGAUCGAGAAGGACCCAGACCUCGCAUACACUGAUCAAUGGGGAAGAAGGAACUACGAAUACCUUUCACUUGGUUGCGAUACCCUUCCUGUCUUGAAAGGCCGUACGCCUGUUCAGUGUUAUGCUGAUUUCAUGCGUGCCUUUAGGGACAAUUUCAAACACCUCCUUGGUGAUACCAUUGUGGUAAUUCUUCUAAUUUACUAAUAAUUGUUGAUCCCAUUUUGUCUCAUCCUCUUUGAAGAAUUCAACUGCUAAGGAAUUACCAUUAUUUUUCACUACAGGAAAUCCAAGUCGGAAUGGGUCCGGCAGGUGAGCUUCGGUACCCUUCGUACCCGGAGGCGAAUGGGACAUGGAAGUUCCCUGGAAUUGGAGCCUUCCAAUGUUAUGAUAAGGUACCCUGACAUUGCACUGCUCUCUCUUGUUUCUAUUUCAGAUUAGGUUCUGUUUUGGUGUUAAUAAUACGGAUGUUAUUUGAUGCAGUAUAUGCUUAGCAGCCUAAAAGCAGCGGCUGAAGCGGCGGGUAAGCCAGAAUGGGGUAGCACUGGCCCAACUGAUGCUGGUCACUACAACAAUUGGCCAGAAGAUACGCCUUUUUUCAAGAAAGAAGGUGGUGGUUGGAAUACUCCAUAUGGUGAAUUCUUCCUUACCUGGUACUCUCAGAUGCUGUUAGAACAUGGGGCGAGAAUUCUAUCGUCCGCAACAUCGAUUUUUGACGGUGCAGGUGUGAAGAUCUCUGUGAAAGUUGCGGGAAUCCACUGGCAUUAUGGAACCCGAUCCCAUGCUCCUGAACUCACAGCUGGGUACUAUAACACAAGGUUCCGAGAUGGUUACCUCCCGAUCGCUCAAAUGCUAGCACGUCAUGGUGCCAUUUUCAACUUCACUUGCAUAGAGAUGCGGGAUCAUGAGCAGCCCCAAGAUGCCUUGUGUGCACCUGAGAAGCUAGUGAAGCAAGUUGCUUUAGCAACAGGAGCAGCACAAGUUCCACUUGCCGGGGAGAAUGCACUUCCCCGUUAUGAUGAAUACGCCCACGAGCAGAUCUUACGAGCUUCAUCGUUGAAUGUCGAUGGCUCAGCAGUUGAUAGAGAGAUGUGUGCAUUUACGUACUUGAGGAUGAACCCAUCGCUCUUUCAUCCGGACAAUUGGAGACGGUUUGUUGCAUUCGUGAAGAAGAUGAAUGAGGGAAAAGGAGCUCGUCGGUGUUGGGAAGAGGUGGAGCGGGAAGCCGAACAAUUCGUGCAUGUCACGCAGCCUUUCAUUCAGGAGGCCGCCGUUGCCCUUAUGCAUUAGCGUAGCUUAGUAAAGAGUUUGUAUUAAUAACAGUUCCUCCAGGAUUCUGAAAUGAUAUAGUUUUUCCUUUCACAUUUUUUUCCUAUGCAGUGGCUAGGGAAAAAAUGCAUGUUGUAUAAUUUGGUAUUCGAUUUUACUUUGUACCAAAUAGUUCCAACUCUUUCCAAUUUUAAGCAAGGAUGAUAUACAUUAGAUUAUUUAUUUGCCUUUUUUUAAAAGAUAUUAGGAUUUGAAUUUUUUAAAGAAAGGAUUUUACGUUUAUAAAUAUGGUAAAAGUAUCACAAUGUUUAUAAACUACUGUUAAAAUAUAUUUGUAUAUUUAAAUUUAGUCUUCAAUUUUUAUAUAUUUAUGUAAUUUAAUCUAUUCUUUGAUUGAAAGUAAAUUAAAAAAUUUCGAAUCUAGUUGCCUGGCUAGCAAAUUAAAAAAAAAAAAUCUAAGCUCUCAUAAAUUUUUAAAAAAUUAUAAAUUAAUUGUUAAAAAUUUAGAAUUAAAAUUUUUUAUUAAAGCAUUAAAAAGUUUCUAAUUUUAAAAUUAUAAAAAUUUGGUGUAAACAUAUUGAAAGUUUCUUAUUAGUUUUAUAAUUUUAAAAUUAUAAAAGCUAUAUAAAAAAUUGAUAAAUACAGAUACAUAUUCAAAUAACUAUAAAAUAGAAUUAAAUUAGUUAACAUCCUCUAAAUUUAAUGACAAAAACAUUUAUGUCGUGACACGGGAGCUUAGGUUGAAUUACUAGCAACUCCAUCCUUACCCUCAAUUAUUAAAAAAUAGAAUCAAAUUAUUUAUAGAUGAAGAAUAAAAAUGGCUAUGUAGUGAAGGGUGAGUAUUUGUUCCGCGUAAAAAUAUAUGGUACACUAUUUUUAAAAAAGGUAUAUGAUAAUUUUUUAAAACUGUUUGUAGUAAAAAAACAAUACACCACACCGUACUUAUACUUUUAAAAAAAAAAUUAAAAUAGUUGGAUUUGGUUGCUUUUUAGAAUGAAAAAUUACCGAAAGGAAGCGUGGGAUACUUUGGAAGAUAAAUUUUUGGAGAGGAAGUUUGAGAUCCGAGUUCAACAAAAGGAACUCUUUUUGAACUUUGACCAUAAGAGGUAUUGGAAAAUCAUGGUUUGAAACAAAAUUGGAGUGUCUGAAUAUCAAAUACUCUUAAGAGAGUUCUACAUUCUAUAUGAUGACAACAGAUUUGCUUCCCAUCAAACAUAUAUCCCAUUUCUUCCAUCUUUCAAUUACAAAAUAAAUUAAACCUCAAAUUCAAUCUCUUGAUAAAAGUAUCAUUAAAGCUCUUGUGAUAGGAGUUAGAUUAUAUUUUACUUAAUUAAUAUAUGUUUGAUCAAAGAACAAAUUAAUCAGGCAGUGACACAAAUGGAUCAAUUUGUUCUUUAAUUUAAUAUAUAAUGGUUAAUUUACUUAUGUUUUGAGUAAAAGAGGAAAAAUGCAAUUCAACUCUUAAUACAAAUAUUUCCACGAUACUAUGAGGGAGUCCAUUUAGUGCUUACCGGGCAUGUUCCUAUGGCUUUUGCUACGGAGGCUUUGGCAUGUUCUUAUGUCGUUCGCUUAGCUGCUGAUCUCAGCCUGCAUAAGGUGACUUUUGAAGGGGAUUCACUUAGUGUUAUUCGCAAGGCCUGCUCUCCUCUACACAAUGUCUCGGCGGUGGAAUGGCUUUUGCUACGGAGGCUUUGGCAUGUUCUCAUGUCGUUUGUUUGCUCAUAUUCCUCGCGAUUGCUCAUAUUCCUCGCGAGGGUAAUACUAUAUCUCAUUUGCUGGCUACGACGAGGCUAGUGGUUCUUCUUUUCUGAGCGGUGUCGUCCCUAGUUUUGCUUCUCUCGUAGUGGAAUGGGAUCGACAGGAUAUCGAUUUGAACGAGAAUGACGAUUAAGGUGGUUUGUACAUAUCUUGUUCUUUAGAUGGGUCUUUGGCAAGGGGAUGGUAAUGGGGUUCACUGUUUCGAUUGGUUUUCGGGGGAUCUGUCGAUCUAGGCAUCGAGGGGGUUGUCCGUGAUUAGCUAUUGUUGACGGUGGUCACCUCUUGUUCUCUACUCUAGCUAUUUGGCGAGCUUGGCUCCAUUUCACAUGGCUUUGGUUGCUAAGGGCCAUAGCUUGUUUUGUUGACAACUCCUUCUAGGAUUUGGAAUGCCUUUCCUUUUUUGGUUGGGAGCUGCUCAAACUGGGUUUUUCUGUUUUGUUUUCUUUGUUUUGGGCUUGGCCCGUUGUAACGCUCAAGUUUGUGCAAGUGUACAUAGUCGUUAUCAAGUAAUAAGUAAGUAUCGAGUUAUCAUCUCCACAGGGAUUGUAUUUGUGCUAAGUCACUUAAUUUGUAAAAUUAUAUUAACAAUUUGAAAAAUAAAAAUAUAGUUGAGAAGUGGUAUAAACUAGAUGCAAUGAUCCCUAAUGUAAAUUAUCCUAAUAUGCAGACUAUAUGAAUGGAAUAGAUUUUAGUAGAAUUUAACACAAUUUGCAACAAUUAUAACAUAAAUAAACUAGGACAAUUACUUUAAUUAAACUUAAUUUAUAAUCAUCAUGCUUAAUAAUAUUCGAAAAAACAUUCCAUGGCAACUCGAUCUUUCAUGAGUUUGGAAACCAAAUUAGGUCCUUUCGGAAUCCUUUCCUUAGUAAACACGCAUUUUACUGAUCCUUAUUUACAAAGGGUUUCUUAGCAUUCGUCUGAGGUAACAGGGACGUGUUAGGUUUGAAACAAUUUAAUCACACAAAUCUAAAAACUAUGCAGAUAACAGAGCCUGGUUAGGGUUGUUAUGCAACCUACAAUUUAAUCGGGUUAGGAUCUAAAUUGAGCAUGUACAUUUCAAUUAUGAGUCCAUUAGCCGUCGUCUGGUUAGGAUCGCUCAGCUAAUUCAGGUGCAUUUCAAUCACGUAUGAACGAAAUAUAGACUUGAUUUUAAUUGAAAACAUGAUUGACUGAGGCACAAACAUUAUAAGCAUGAAUCAAAUAAAUGUUAUUUAAUUAAAAUAAUCAUCCUAGCUUAAAUAAAAUUAAGCUAUCAUUGUUGUAAACAAGAACAAAGAACACAUAGCAAACAUCUCUGUAUUAAAUAAAAGAAAAGAAAGAUUAAACCCAAUUCAGAGUGGCUGUCACCCAAAACUCUGAUUGAUGAAGCUCCUUCGUUCCUUUACUUUGCUCCUAUGCUGAUGGCUCUCCAAGGUGGCCGACCAAGGGCUCUUUAAGAGGGUAAUUUGCUAAAAAUCCUUAUACAAGGAUGAUGCUCGGCGUGAGGGGGAAAAGCUAAGAGUGUUGAGAGAGGAGAGAAUGAUGAGGGAUGAGGGAUGAGGGAUGAGGGAUGAUUGAAAAAGUGAGAAAUGAGCUCUUAUUUAUAGGUGAUGUAAGGGAGCUAGUUUGCUAAAAAUAGUAGUGUCCAUCCUUUGAAACCUCCUCCAAGAGUGGUCGGCCAUGAAUUGAGGAAAUGUGGCUGAUUUUUCCUUAAUUUUUGGUCAAUUUGAAUGCCACAACAACUCAGGACUAAGACUCGGUCUUCAGCAAAUCUUCGGGAAAAUCUCUAAUUUCUUUAACUCUUCAAGGGCCUUAUGCAAUUAAACCAAAAAUUGGUUUAUAAUCAGCCAUGUGCAGCUGAAAAUUGGGUUGACUUGGUCCCCACUUUGGACGGUUUUGCAAUUAGAAGAAAAACUCUCAGACUUGUCAAAAAUAACAGAUAGUUUAGAGGACCAAAUGAAUUAAUUUAACCAUUUUAAUUAAUCAAUUUAAUUAUUUAAUUAAACCCAAUUUUAUUAAUGAAAUAUUUAAAAUGAAUUAUUAAAAUAUAACAUUAUAUUUUAUUAUUUAAUUCUAUCAUGCAUUGCCCAUUUCAUAACUUAAAAAUAUAAUAUGCUUAAAUUAAUAUAAAAUAAGCCAUUUUAUGCAUAAAAACUAUAUAAUAAAACAUAAAAUCACAUUUUAAUAAUUUUUAUGUCCUAAUUUCAUAUUUUCACAUAUUUCAUUAAUUUAUUAAACAAUUACUUGGUUUUAACAACAAUUUUAAGUAAAAAUGUGAUGAAUUAUAUUGGAAAAAUCCUAUAUACUUUUCCGUUUACACGCCCCCAAACUUAAAUCAUUGCUCGUCCCGAGUAAUGUUCAUGCACAACACAAGGUCUUGCUAAGGCAAAUUUUGCUAAGAGUGUAAGUAGCAUUAAUCUUCGUCUCAUAAUCAUGCAUCAACAAAUUCAUGCUCAUAGAUCUUCUUUAUUAAAAAGUAACUCAUAUACAAACAUUUUGAAAAUUUUAUUCUAAGUUUCAAGAUAUGCUAACAUGAAUCAUAGUUUGCAUGUAUGUCACAGCCAUAGAUAAUAUUCUUCAUUCAACACAAUUUCUCAUCAAUCAAGCAAACAAUCAUAAGGUUUAUUUAUGAUCUUUAUAUGUUGAACUUAAUACUUCCCCUCCAGUAAUGUAGGUGACAUAAUCAUCAAAUCAGUACGUCUUUUAUAAGGUUGUAAUAGGGCUAGGUCAAAGGUAAAGAUUCUAAGAGAUGAGAUAUUUUAGUUUCAAAAAUCUUAACCUUUAACUUGUCCUGGAUUUCUCGAAAUUCAACCUUUUUCUUCAAGUGAACCUUUGGAACACCCCCAAACUUAUUUUGAACUCAAGCUCAUACAUUUUUCCUUUUUGGAGAUUAGCAAACUUUUCUUUGCUCUUUCUUUAUCUUUGUGAUUUUUUUUAAGCAUGAGCACAUACAUCUUUAUGAAAAUUUCCUCAAAUGUUGAUUCCUAAGACACUUAAGUUAAGAUAGGUGUACAAAAUUAAGAUAAUUUAAAAAGAUGGUAACUGGCUUAUAAUGUAGGUUCAUUUCAAAAAUAGGCCUUAAAGCUAAAAAUUGUAGUUUCAAGGGUCUAAUAUCAUAAGGUGGGCUUGAAAAGGCUCAAACGAUCCAAAAAAAAAAUGGUGCCUAUAUCAUUUUAGAUUUUUAUGUCCCCUAGGAUUUCGCCUCAAGAAAGUUUCUAAGUCAAUUCUAAAGAUAUAAAGCUUCAUGCAUGUCUAUUCUUAAGAGAAACUAAGUUUUCAUGGCAAACAUUACCUAAGACUAAGAUCAUAAAAACAUUCCAUUUUUCAUGAUAACAUACAAUCACCCAAAUAAAAUCAUCAUUCAUGCUUGCAUACAAGCUAUCUUAUUAAAUAGAAUUUCUCUAAACAUUCAUUUAUUAAAACAUACUUAUGAAAGAAAUGAUUGAAACAUACUUAAAAAUUUUUAAAAUUUGAGCAAUUUAUUUGCCUUACCCCCUUAAAAAGAAGCAAUGUCCUCAUUGCAAGAGCAAAGUAAUGAAUGAAAACUGAACACCAGGUAGGGUUGUAAAGAAAGAGAGGCGAGUCACUAAAACUGCUUAAAUACCAAGUCUUUCUUAAUAAACCAAUCCUAGACAUGUUCAUUCCCAUUACCACAUCACUUAGUCUUAUUUUUUUAUAAGGAAGUGUUUAUUCAUGCUUGCUAUGUUUUAUUUUGUAGAAACUAAAUCCUAAUUACUAAAGAAAUAAAUUCCAAAAGACCUAAAAAUAAUUAAAUCAAUAACAAGGCAAGAAUCCCCCUUUUUAUUUUUCUGACUCAAUCCCCUUGUCUUCUUUAGCUCCAUCUCUACUUGCAUUGUCAGUAUCUUCCGUCUAUGUCUCAAAGAUAGCAUCUAGGAACUCAGGAAUAAAAGUGUUAGAGAUAUUCUUAAAAGUAUUUCGAAUUGAAUCAUCCUUAAUUUUUGCAUAUUUCUAGUAAGUUUGCUAUUGAUUUUGCAUGAACUUGCAGAUAUCCAUCAAAAUUGACAAAUCCAAUUUCUUCGAAGUACUUGCAGGAGUCGAUAUUGGAGUUGUAAAUUCUGGUUCAACACUUAGCUUGACUGGUCCUUCUUCUAGCUCAACCCUUGGUUUAGAGUUUUUAGUUCCUUCAGCUGGUUAAGGACUAUUUGGUUCCUUAUUAGAUUCUCCUUCUUCAAUGUUUGUAACUGAAUCAAAUUCAGUUUCAGUUUCAUUUGUUGACUCUUCGGUUUUUGGCUCAGUUGGCUCCUCUUGCUCGCAUUGGUUUAGCUCAUGCACUUUCUCUACUAACCUUUCAAGAUCAUGACUUGUGAUGCACCCUUGUACAUACUGCCCCUUCAGAUUUGCUUGUGUUUUAACACGGGCUCUUAAGCAAAGUGAAGUGAUUAAUGAUGGGAAAUAAGCACUUCCUGCCUUCUCUUUAGCACAAUCAUGAAUUCCUUGAGGAUAAUUUUCCCAACAUUAAUGGACUUCUAUGUCAAAAUUGCAUAUAACAAGAGCAUUUUUUCCAUCGAGAUGGUGGAACUAUGUGAGAUAGGCAUAAAACUGUAGCAAGCAAACAAAAUAUUCUCUUCGACAAGAAUGGCUCCCAUACUUUCUUAUAAUCCAUUGGGAUCCCAGAUUUGUCACAACAUUAAGUACUUGUUGAAGAAAAUCCCAAUUGAUAUUGUUCAUCAUUGGGUAGUACUCAUCUUCCUCAACAUUAGGUAAAUUAAAGAAAUCAUUGAUGGACUUAGAAGUAAGAGGUGCCUUUUUCUUUCGAACAAUGAAUUCAGUAACAUCUUGUGUAGUCAAACUAGCAUAGAAUUCCUGAACUAGUUCAUCAUCAGGAAGUGAACGAGCAUCACAGAAUUGUUUCCACUUGAGAACAUUGAUUAUCUUUCUAAUCGGCACAGGGACAAUCAUCACAUCAUUGCUCUUCAGGUUAAAACCUUUUUUCAACAUCAUAGGUUGAUGCUUGAAAAUUGAAUCAAAUCGCUGUUUCACUUCUUCAUCGAUCAAAAUUGGGUUUUCAGAAGUAGUUUUUGACGAUCUUGUUCUUUUCUGAGACAUGGUAUUUUCCCAAAAAUUCGGCAAAGUUUUUGCUUGCAGAAGCAAAAGAGAAAUCGACAAAAGAAAGUAGAACUUGCUUCAGCAAACUUGUGAUAGCAAAAGAGUUGCGGCGGCGGCAACAACGUGCAACAGCAAUGGUGGUGUGCGGCAGUGAUAACGACUGCUUCGAUAAUUCUCUUGCAACGGCACUAGGUAGUUUCGGCCAAAGAAAAGAAAAGGGCUAGAAAUUUCUUUCAGGAUUGGAGGUUGACGGCACAAAGAAGAGAUUUAGGGAUUUUAGAGUGGAAGCAAAUUGCUUUGAGGGAUAUGAAAAUUAGUAGAAUAAAGAGGGGUUUAUAUAGGAAAAAUUUAGGGUAACAUGUAGCAAAAAUUUAGCUACAUUAAAGUUAAUUGGGUGGCAAGUAAUGGGUGUGACGGUAAGUGUUAAAAUUUUCCUUCCUUUUCGUUAACUUGGGCUUCAAACUUAGACUGUAUCUUAAAAGAAAACUGAUUAGUACUUGGGCCAAACUUGACCCCCUUUAUUAACAAUAAAAUUUAAACAACAUAAAUUAAACUAUAGAAAAAAGAACAUUUUAAAACUUAAUUAGAAAAUUUCUUCUUAACAAAUUACAUUAAAUUAAUUCCCAUGAAAGGUUGGAGGGGUCACAGUGGUCCCGCUUAAGUUCCAAUCUCCUUAGACAGAAUUAAUUAAAUGUACUUAAUUAAGAAAAUAAAUUCUAAUUAUUUAUUUAUUUACAAGACGAGUUUAAGAAAAAUAAAGGGUCUGUUAAUUUGAACUAGGAUUCAACUCGCUCAACUUUACCAUCCCAGUAGUAUUUGAGACGUUGACCAUUAACUUUAAACAUACCUCCGUAAUUGUCGUACAAUUCAAUAGCUCCAAAAGGAUAAACUCGAUGGAUAGUAUAAGGUCAUUUCCAUCGGGAUUUCAGCUUCCCAGGAAAUAACUUCAGCCUUGAAUUAAACAACAACACUUUCUGACCUUCUUUAAACUCGCGAGGUUGUAUAUGACUAUCAUGCCAUCUCUUUCAUCUUUCUUUACACAUUUUGGGAUUCUCAUAGGAAAACAACCUCAGCUCUUCCAACUCAUCGAGUUGUAACAUCCUUCUCUCACCGGCUUGCUUAAGAUCAAAAUUUAACUGCUUCAAAGUCCAAUGAGCUUUAUUCUCUAAUUCUAAUGGCAAAUGACAUGCCUUUCCAAAGAUUAACCGAUAAGGAGUCAUUCCUAAAGGAGUCUUGAAUACUGUUCGAUAGGCCCAUAAUGCAUCAUCGAGCCUUCGAGACCAAUUUUUUCUGUUAGGGCGUACAACCUUUUCAAGGAUACCUUUGAUUUUACGGUUCACUCUUUCAACUUGCCCAUUAGACUGGGGGUGAUAGGCAGUAGCAAUCUUGUGCUUCACAUCAUAUUUGUCAAGCAACUACUUCGGCUAUUUGUUCACAAAGUGAGAACCUUCAUCACUAAUAAUAGCUCUUGGUGUCCUAAAUCGUGUAAACACAUGCUUAUGUAGGAAUCGCAUGACUACCUUAACAUCAUUUGUAGGGUAUGCUUCAGCUUCAACCCACUUGGAUGCAUAGUCCACAGCAACUAAGAUGUAUUUGUUCCCAUAUGAAAAAGGAAAUGGGCCUAAAAAGUCAAUGCCCCAUACGUCGAACAAUUCAAUCUCUAAAAUGUUUGUCAAUGGCAUCCCAUUCUUCCUUGAUAUAUUUCCAGUCCUUUGGCAUUUAUCACAGUUCUUCACAUAAGCAUAAGCAUCUUUAAAUAGUGUAGGCCAAAAGAAACCUGCUUGUAAAAUCUUUGUUGCGGUACGUGAACAACCAAAGUGUCCCCCACUUAGAGAUGAAUGGCAAUGAUAUAAGAUCUCAGCAAUCUCAAUUUCAGCCACACACUUUUGGAUUAUAUUAUUUGCACACUAUUUAAACAAAAAUGGAUCCUCCCAAAAAUAAUACCGACUAUCAUGAAGGAAUUUUUUCCUUUGUUAGUAUGUCAUUUAUCGAGGAAUUAUUCCACAUGCAAGAUAAUUGACAAAAUCAGCAAACCAAGGUAUUUCAUGAAUUCGACUUACCUCAAAUAAGUGCUCAUCUGGGAAAUUUUUGUUGAUAGGCACACCCGACUGGGUUACCUUAUCUUGCUCCAACCUCGACAGAUGAUCAGCUACUUGAUUUUCGACACCUACUCUGUCUUGGAUCUCAAGGUCAAAUUAUUGGAGUAAAAGUGUCCAACAAAUUAGCCUUGGUUUUGCAUCUUUCUUUGUGAGCAAGUAUUUAAUGGUCGCAUGGCCAAUAAAUACUAUAACUUUGGUACCUAUAAGAUAUGAACAAAAUUUUUCAAAAGCAAAAACUAUACCAAAUAGUUCCUUUUCAGUUACCGUAUAAUUGAGUUGGGCUCCCGUCAAGGUUCUACUUGCAUAGUAAAUGGGGUAGAACACUUUAUUUCUUUUUUGACCCAUCACAGCUCCAACAGUAUAAUCACUUGCAUCGCACAUCAACUCAAAAGGUGAGUUCCAAUCAGGGGUAACGAUUAUUAGGGCUGUAAUUAACCAACUCUUUAGAUCUUCAAAAGCUUCUACACAUGCUUUGUUGAAAUUGAACAAUGUAUCUUUCUUUAACAACAAACACAACAGCUUAGAAAUUUUCGAGAAAUCUUUGAUAAAUCUUCAGGAAAAAUCGACAUGGCCUAAGAAACUUUUGACUCCUUUUCACAUUAAUUGGGGCCGGUAAUCUUUCAAUUACGUCUACCUUUGCUUUGUCGACUUCAAUUCCUUUCUUUGAGAUCUUGUGACCUAAGAUAAUUCCUUCAUUGACCACAAAAUGACAUUUUUCCCAAUUAAAGAUAAGAUUCAUCUCUUCGCAUCUUUUCAGUACUUUAGCCAAAUUACUCAAACAAAUAUCAUAAGUGUUACCAAAAACAGAAAAAUCAUCCAUGAAAACCUCGACAAAAUUUUCAACCAUAUCAGUAAAUAUUGCCAUCAUGCAUCGUUGAAAAGUUGCAAGUGCAUUGCAUAAACUAAAAGGCAUUCGCCUAAAAGCAAACGUACUAUAUGGACAAGUAAAGGUUGUUUUAUGUUGGUCCUCUGGGGCUACAACUAUUUGGUUGUAUCCCGAAUAGCCAUCUAAAAAAUAAUAGAAUUCUUUACCUGCUAGUCGAUCUAACAUCUGAUCCAUAAAAGGCAACAGAAAAUGGUCCUUUCGAGUGGCUUUGUUUAACUUUCUGUAAUCAAUACAGAUUCUCCAACUGGUAACAGUUCUCGUUGGAAUUAACUCGUUACACUCAUUUUCAACAAUCGUGAUUCCACAUUUCUCCGGCACACACUGUACUGGACUUACCCACGAACUAUCUGAAAUAGGAUAGAUGACUCCCACAUCUAACCAUUUAAUCACUUCUUUUCUCACAAAUUCUUUCAUACUAGGAUUGAGCCUCCUUUGCCCAUCAAUUCGAACUCUUUCACCUUCUUCUAAAAUGAUUUUAUAUAUGGAAAAUGAAGGGCUUAUACCUCGAAUAUCAGCUAUGGUCCAACCAAUUGCUUUUUUAAAUUUCUUUAGAACAAUAAUUAGUUGCUCCUCUUGAUCUUUUGUUAGCUUUGUUGAAAUAAUCACAGGUAAAGUAAAACAGUCACCUAAAUGAACGUAUUUUAAAUAGGAAUGAAGUACCUUUAGUUCGAGUUUAGGUGGUUCUUCGAUUGACAACUUGGGUUGCAUAAAUUCUCUGACUUUCAACUCCAACGGUUCAAACCGUGUGGAUUGAAUAUAAUUUCUCGGAUUGGCUUCCAUCAAAGCCAUGUUUUCUUCACCUUCUUCAUCCUCCAAAGGGUCAAGAUCUAAAGCUCUCUUCAAUAGAUCUUCUUCAAAAUUGCUUUCCAUAGAAACCAAGGUUUCUAUCUCUUACAUAACUGAACACUCCUCUGCCAGAUCAGGAAAUUUCAUUGCUUUUAGAAUGUUAAAGGUUACCUGAUUGUCUUGAACUCGCAUGGUGAGUUCACCUUUCUGCACAUCAAUUAACGUUCUCUCUAUGUCUAGGAAAGGUCUCCCAAGGAUGAUCGACACUUCUUUGUCUGCUUCAAAAUCUAAAAUAAUGAAAUCAAUAUGAAAAUAAAUUUAUUAACUCUUACCAAGACAUCCUCGAUCUUUCAUUCGGGAUAUGCUAAAGAUCGAUCCGUUAGCUGAAGCGUCACAGUUGUAGGUCUUACUUCACCUAUCCCUAACAUCUUAAAAAUAUACUUAGGCAUCAAGUUGAUACUUGCUCCUAAGUCACACAAAGCUUUACCACAGUAAGAUUCACCAAUGUUACAGGGUAUAGUAAAGCUUCCUAGGUCUUUCAAUUUUGGUGGCAGUUUGUUUUUUAGGAGCGCACUGCACUCCUUUGUCAAAGCAACAAUCUCAUACUCACUCAGUCGUUUCUUCUUGGACAGUAUAUCCUUCAUAAACUUCACAUAAUUUGGCAUUUGUUCUAAAGCCUCCACCAAUGGAAUAUUGAUGUGUAACUGCUUUAGAACAUCCAAAAACUUCUUGAAUUGUACCUCCUGUUUUUGCUUGUGUUGUUGCAAUCUUUGUAGAUAUGGAGGUGAUGCAACUUUCAGUUGAACUAGACAACUUUUCUGAGUAGGUAAAUCUGCAUCCAAAGAAGAUGUUCAAAUAUCUGAAUUCACUAGGUCAGGGUUUACCUUGUCAGACUUUGCAGAUUCUGAUUCUUCUGGUGUAGGAACUUCAAUAGCUGGUUGACUUUCCUCCUUUUCAACAUGCUCCUCUUCGACAUCAAUUAAUCAAGGUUCUAGAGUUUUACCACUACGUAAUGCCACUACCUUGAUAUGUUCUUUACCCAAAUUUCUUGGAUUCUCAGUAUCACUCGGUAAGGUUCCUUGCGACCUAUUACGAAGCUUCGUAGCUAACUAACCCAUUUGGUUUUCUAAAUUUUUCAGUGUUGCUGCUUGGCUUUGGAUCAAAGCGUCAUUCUUUUCCAUGUACGCUUUCAACAACUUCUCCAAACUGUUUGAUGCCUCAGCUUGAGGUGGUUUUGGAGCUUGUUGAUUAAACCCUUGAGAUUGGUUGGGUCUUUGCUGCAAUAAGUUAUUGUUUGGUCCAUUUCCUUGUUGCUCCAAGAAAAGUUAGGAUGAUUACGCCAUGAAGGGUUGUAGAAGUUGGACUGGUGUCCUUGUCCACUCCUAUUUUGAUAUUGGUUCCCCACAUAUUACACUAACUCGGGAUUUGAUGGACAAUUCUCAAAAGAAUGACCUUCCCCACAGUACACACAGGAAACUACUUCAAACGGACUUGGUGGCUGAGCUGCAAAACUAUUAGUACUUUUAGCAGUUAACUGUUUAAACAUAGAGGAAAUGGACAAUCCCUGAGCUGAUAAUGAAGUGAGAGAGUCAACUUCAUGAACUCUGGUUACUCAUCUUCCUGAAGCUGUUCGAUUUGUUGGCCAUUGAUAGUUAUUACUCGCAAUCCUCUUGAUGAUCUCAUAAGCCUCAUUAUAAGACUUAGACAAAAUUGCACCAUUCACGGAAGCAUCUACCAUCAAUCUUGUAUGUGCAUUGAGACCAUUAUGGAAUGUCUCCAACUGGAUACAAUGAGGAAUCCCAUGAUGAGGACACUUACGAAGUAACUCCUUGAAUCGCUCCCAAGCCUCAUACAAAGACUCGUCAUCCAAUUGUUGGAAAGUUGUGAUCUCGUUCCUCAACUUAGCAUUUUUGCUAGGUGGAAAAUACUUAACCAAAAAUCUCUCUGCUAAUUCUUUCCAUGUAGAUAUGGAACUUGGUGGCAAUGAAUUGAGCCAUGCUCAUGCUUGAUCUCGCAACGAGUACGGAAACAACUUCAACUUCAGUGUGUCUUCAGUCACACCGGUUAUCUUAAAUGAAUCAACCACCCCCAUAAACAAUCGAAGAUGGAGAUGUGGAUCUUCCGUGGGAAUACCACUAAAUUGGCCCACCGUUUGUAGCAUUUGAAACAUCACUGGUUUCAAUUCAAACUGGGUUGCCUCAAUAUCUGACCUUCUAAUUCCUGGGUUUAACUCACUAAAAAGUGGAACAGCAUAUUUUCUGAUGCAUCGAUCCCUAUCAUCAGCAACAAGGAUGGGAUUUCGUACAUGACAUGCUUCAUUACCUUGGUCUUGAUUCUGAUUUCCAAGGUCCAUCUCGACUUGUCUUUGAGCAGUUCGUUCACGUCUUCUUCGUCUAAAAGUUCACUCAAUUUCAGGGUCUACAGGGAGUAAAUCGAUAAUUCGAUCUAUGCUCAUAAACACCUGAGAAGAAAUUCACAAAAAUUAAAAAGAAUAAGUUAGUAAUGUUAAAAAUAAAUCAAAUUGAAAAUAAAUACAUUCACAAAAAAAUGGCUAUGGAAACAGUUGACAAUCCACGGCAACGGCACCAAAAACUUGAAACGCUCGGGUUUGUCCAAGUGUACACAGUCGUUAUCAAGUAAUAAGUAAGUAUUGAGUUAUUGUCUCCAUAGGAAUUGUAUUUGUGCUAAGUCACUUAAUUUGUAAAAUUAUAUUAACAAUUUGAAAAAUAAAAAUAUAGUUGAGAAGUGGUAUAAACUAGAUGCAAUGAUCCCUAAUGUAAAUUAUCCUAAUAUACAGACUAUAUGAAUGGAAUAGAUUUUAGCAGAAUUUCACACAAUUUGCAACAAUUAUAACAUAAUUAAACUAGGACAAUUACUUUAAUUAAACUUAAUUUAUAAUCAUCAUGAUUAAUAAUAUUCGGAAAAACAUUCCAUGGCAACUCGAUCUUUCAUGAGUUUGGAAACCAAAUUAGGUCCUUUCGGAAUCAUUUCCUUACUAAACACACAUUUUACUGAUCCUUAUUUACUAAGGGUUUCUUAGCAUUCGUGUGAGGUAAUAGGGACGUGUUAAGUUUGAAACAAUUUAAUCACACAAAUCUAAAAACUAUGCAAAUAACAGAGCUUGGUUAGGGUUGUUAUGCAACCUACAAUUUAAUCGGGUUAGGAUCUAAAUUGAGCAUGCACAUUUCAAUUAUGCGUCCAUUAGCCGUCGUCUGGUUAGGAUCGCUCGGCUAAUUCAGGUGCAUUUCAAUCACGUAUGAAUGAAAUAUAGACUUGAUUUUAAUUGAAAACAUGAUUGACUGAGGCACAAACAUUAUAAGCAUGAAUCAAAUAAAUGUUAUUUAAUUAAAAUAAUCAUCCUAGCUUAAAUAAAAUUAAGCUAUCAUUAUUGUAAAUAAGAACAAAGAACACAUAGCAAACAUCUAUGUAUUAAAUAAAAAGAAAAGAAAAACUAAACCCAAUUCAGAGUGGCUGUCACCCAAAACUCUGAUUGAUGAAGCUCCUUCGUUCCUUUACUUUGCUCCUAUGCUGAUGGCUCUCCAAGGUGGCCGACCAAGGGCUCUUUAAGAGGGUAAUUUGCUAAAAAUCCUUAUACAAGGAUGAUGCUCGGCGUGAGGGGGAAAAGCUAAGAGUGUUGAGAGAGGAGAGAAUGAUGAGGGAUGAGGGAUGAGGGAUGAGGGAUGAUUGAAAAAGUGAGAAAUGAGCUCUUAUUUAUAGGUGAUGUAAGGGAGCUAGUUUGCUAAAAAUAGUAGUGUCCAUCCUUUGAAACCUCCUCCAAGAGUGGUCGGCCAUGAAUUGAGGAAAUGUGGCUGAUUUUUCCUUGAUUUUUGGUCAAUUUGAAUGCCACAACAACUCAGGACUAAGACUCGAUCUUCAGCAAAUCUUCAGGAAAACUCUGAUUUCUUUGACUCUUUAAAGGCCUUAUGCAAUUAAACCAAAAUUUGGUUUAUAAUCAGCCAUGUGCAGCCAAAUAUUGGAUUGACUUGGUCCCCACUUUGGACGGUUUUGCAAUUAGAAGAAAAACUCUCAGACCUGUAAAAAAUAACAGAUAGUUUAGAGGACCAAAUGAAUUAAUUUAACCACUUUUAUUAAUCAAUUUACUUAUUUAAUUAAAUCCAAUUUUAUUAAUGAAAUAUUUAAAAUGAAUUAUUAAAUAUUUUAUUAUUUAAUUCCAUCAUGCAUUGCACACUUCAUAGCUUAAAAGUAUAAUAUACUUAAAUUAAUAUAAAAUAAGCUAUUUUAUGCAUGAAAACUAUAUAAUAAAACAUAAAAUCACAUUUUAAUAAUUUCUAUGUCCUAAUUUCAUAUUUUCACAUAUUUCAUUAAUUUAUUAAAUAAUUACUUGGUUUUAACAACAAUUUUAAGUAAAAAGGUGAUGAAUUAUAUAGGAAAAAUCCUAUAUAUUUUUCUAUUUGCAUCCAUGUGUUUUGUUUACUUGGUUUGGGUUUGCUGUUUCAACUUUAUUUGCUUUGUUUGUUGAUAAAAUGCCUAGUUUGAAUUAAAAAAAGUUAGCAAAGAAAAACGUGUUUAGUAUAAAAUGCGAUUAAAAAUAUUAAAUUGUUAAAGAAAAACACAUUCGAUGUAAAGUGCUUGUGACAUACUUUUAAUGGCGACUACAAAUGUGGAAGUCACACUAUGGGGGAGACCGACCCAGAGGACCAACAUAUGGUGGAGCUCGACCCAAAAAACUAACCUCUGAACACACGCACUUCACCCAGAAGACAGAUAUACUCUGUCACUUAGAAAUAUUCCAGGUUCUGGGAAUAUAGUUCUGCAUUCAUUAACCUCGCCCUCUGAGUGUUCUCUUUCAUGACAUUCAUUACACCUUUGACAUUCACGUGUUUUGCCUCCAACUAUUUUGCUUGUCUCAACCCCAUUUUUGGCAUCAAGCUUGCCAGCCUGUAAAACGUGGCUAAGAAAAUUGAUGAAAUUGGUAAGUGACAUGUAUGCCUCAAGAUAGAAUUAACGGCCUUAAAGAGGUUGGUCGUCAUAUGACCAUAUCGAUUCCCAUCAUCAAAACAUUUAGCCCAUUUCCACAACUCCAUUCUACCCAACUAUUACCUUAGAGAAGGAUGGAUAGAACCCCUCCAUAUCAGUCUCUAACCUUGCCAGCUUAUGUCUGAAUUGAUGUGGUUCCAACUCGUACCCUAUGUAUGUAUUUUGAUAAAAACACUUUACCAUCCCUUUUAGUAAAUAGAUUUAAAUUAUUUACAUAUACAAAUUUAAAUACGAUAUUUUUACCCAUGUUCACGAUUUGUUUGCGCUAGUCUUUGUUCUUAUACUCAUUGUGGAAGUUGACAAAGUUGUGGCGAAUGUAGUAGAUGGACCUCCAUGGAACCUCGUAUUGCCAAAUUGCAGCAACAAGGUCCUUUGAUCUGUUUAAGACAAUGCAAAUGUUGUUUUUCCUAACAACAUGCCUCCAUAAGUUCCUAAUGAAAAAUUCCCAUGAUUUGGAGUUCUUAAACUCUACGAUGGAGAAAACAAUCGAUAGUACAUUUCGGUUACCGCCUUGCACAACUGCAAUCAGAAGUAUCUGCGUGUAUUUUCCAAAAAGCCACGUUCCAUCAACUUGCACAAGCUGUUUGCAGUAGGAGAAGGCCCUAACAUAUGGAUCGGAAGUCUAGAACAAUUGGCGAAAAACUCUUCUCCCUGGUUCAAGUAGUUCAUUCGGGCCUCUGUAAGGCAACGUUUGCAAGUCCACAACAGUCCUUAGGACGUACUACACCAUCAUUGAAAUCCACCCCUGAAGUU
rnacentral:lncRNA from 1 species